CUAUAAUUAUGUGAUAUGAAACACUAUGUUGCAUAGAAACACAAUCAAUAAAUAUUCAGCAUUAAAAUCCCGAGCAAAUUAGCCUUGUAAUUUUCGAUAACUGGAAUCAUUGGUUUCUGAGUUGCAAGAUUUGGAAUUGUCAUUUAAGUUGGUUCCCUUUGCGUUGAAUACUCCUGACAGUGUAAAAUCAAAAUCUAUGCAGAUUGGAAUGCUUGAAGAUACAAGAACCCGCACUCUUAAUGGCAUUUUACGCGUUCAAAGCUGUUUUCGGGGUCACCAAGCUCGCAGCUACCUUAGACACCUUAGGAGUGGAAUAGCCGCUCUUCAAUCAUGUACAUCCACCUUUCCUGCUUGAGCUAUCAACGAAAUUCUCUAGCAGUAUGUUGGUUGCAUAUUGUUGAAGGAAUAAUUUUUUUUAAUCUUUGGAUAGUUAUUCGAGGGGACAAGAUACGGAAAGAAUACUUAUUCCUAUGGGGAAGACAUAGGGCCGCCAUUGUUAUCCAAAGGCAGGUGAAGAGCAUGAUUUGCAGGAAUAAAUAUAAGAACGUUCACCAGGCAUCACUCUUAAUACAAUCUGGUAACAUUCGUGGCUUUCCGCUAAAAGUAUUCUUUACUGAAGGAAAAUUUUAAUGUACACUAUGAUUUGUUAGAAUGGGUGUUAUUACCAACUCUGGUCAUUCAAAAUCUUUCUUCCAGUUAUUCGUGGAUGGUUGGUUAGAAGAUGCUCCGGUGAUGUGGGGAUAUUACUUUCAAGGGUCAAGGUAAUGAUUCCUUUCUUUUCAUUUAAUCUGUACCAAAUGAUGGUACCAAUUCUAUUAAUCAAGAUGACGAAAGCUGAAGUAACAUGGAUUCGUUAUUUCCUUGUUUUCCUAUGGUUCUAGGCUUACCAGCAGUAACUUGUUUAGUUUUCAUAGAGUUAUGCUGGCCAGAAUGAGAUGAAUCGGUUUUAUGUGUUGACUGAAAACUGUGGUUAACCUUCUCAGGGGAAUGAGUCGGAGGAAGUGCUGGUGAAGGCGUUGUUUCUUGCUGAUUUACAGCGACGGGUUCUCAAGUCAGAGGCUGGCUUUAGAGAGAAAGAAGAGGAGAAUGACAUCCUCAACCAGCGGAUUCAGCAGUAUGAGAGCCGAUGGUCGGAAUAUGAAGUGAAGAUGAAGUCAAUGGAGGAAGUGUGGCAGAAACAGAUGAGAUCCUUGCAAUCAAGCCUGUCGAUCGCAAAGAAGAGUCUGGCUAUCGAUGAUUCCGAGAGGAACUCCGAUGCUUCAGUUAAUGCAAGUGACGAAAGGGAGUCUAGUUGCGAUACCGGAAGCAAUUACAGAAGUCAGGAAAGUAAUGGGCUGAGAACGAUGAGUGCAGGUUUGAGCGUGAUAAGCCGGUUGGCAGAAGAGUUUGAACAGAGAAGUCAAGUAUUUGGGGAUGAUGCAAAGUUCUUGGUUGAGGUUAAAUCUGGCCAGGUGGAUGCGACCUUGAAUCCAGACCGGGAACUUACAAGGUUGAAGCAAAUGUUUGAGAGUUGGAAGAAGGAUUACAGUGGAAGGUUAAGAGAAACGAAGUUGAUACUGAAUAAGCUUGGUAGUGAUGAAGGCGCCCUUGACAAAGUAAAGAAGAAAUGGUGGGGGAGGAGGAACAGCAUUAGGUAGUAACCAGAUGCUGCUGAUGGAAAUCUCUGAGUAGUUUGUUUAUAUAAGAGUUUUCUGGGUGGGGGGAUGCACAGCCAUUGUAGGCUAGUGAUCAUUAACCACUCUGAAAGAAAGAUAUCAUUCAUUCUUUCAUAUUAUUAUUAUUGUAAGUUUAAACAAAGAGGUUUGUGAUUUGCCCACUUCAGUAGCAACCCAACCCAUACUCUUGUACUAAACUUCACAAAGGAAUAUAUUCCUGAGGUUUUUGUAUACUUCAGAUUAAGUUUCUGCCCUGUCAGUUUUAGCCCUGAUCAUUAUGGUAAUUCCCACCAUUAGGCCAUCUCAAAGGAGAGGUAAAUUGUUAAAAACCUAAAAUUUAGCACCAAAAUGGUAAAGAUGGCAACGGAUGGGUAUGGGUACAGGUUUAGUAUCUCCAUCACCCGCCCGUUUACUCGUCGGAUUUUACCUAUAUUCACCCGUUUUGUCUAAAUGGCAUAAUAUGAAAACCAUCCCCGCCCAUUUAUGGGUUACAGGUAAUACCUGGAUAUUAAUACUAAAACUAAAAUUUCUAUAAUAAAAAUUAAACAAAUUAAAAUGUUAAAAAAUAAACAUUUACGACUACGACCAUCUCUGCAUCCUCACCUUUCUUAUUAGAAUUAUCACCAAAAAGAAAUAGGUUUCAGAGGGAAACUAUAAGAAGGUUGGGAAAUCAGAUCUAACAACAAUCGACGCGGUUCUUCAUCCCAAACAUCAAGCGACACUUCCAUCUCAACUUUGAGGACUUCCGAGUUCGAUCGAAAUAAAAAAUAGAUGGGUCAGUCUCGCAAAGAAGAAACGUCAUGGAUGAGCUCGAAGCUCUCCAAUAGCCUGCACGAGUUACUCUUCAGAUUAUUCAUUCACUAUAUGAGAUGCAAGGGGAGAAAUCCCUAGGUUCGUGCAAUUAGAUUUGAGAGGAUGAAUGGAAAAUAUCCAUUUUGGUCUCAAGAUUUUAAAACUUACAUAAUUAAUCCUGAAUUCUAUUAAUUAACAAUGUAGUCUUCAAUGUUUUAAAUUAUGACAUCGAUAGCUCAGGUAAUUUUUUUAUUAAUACGAAUAACCCGAACAGGUUACGAAUAAUAAAUUAUUUAAGAUUAUAAUUUAUUAACUUCCAUUUGCAAUUGGUUUCUAGUUAUAUUUAUUUUAUAAUUAUUUAUCUUUUAUAUAAUUCCAUUUGCCUCGCUGUCUUGUUGGUUGCGGUGAUAUUCCACUUUUAAUCAACAACUCUGCAAACUCGCAGGCUGACACUAAGGAUUUGGUUUCUGCCUGUGUGAUCUUCCUACCCGCAUUUCUUACACAAGAAGAGAGGGCAAAAAGGAAAGAGACUGUUUGGGAUUUGAUUCCAGAUAGUCUCCUCCCAUGGCGUCUUCAAUUAGCAUAAACUCGGCAUUGACGGACGACGAGCUGCGGACGAUUCUGGGUAAGCUAGAGGAGGACAAGGAUAAGGAGAUAUUUGGGUUGGUGUGCAAGAGAUGGCUGAGAUUGCAGAGUACUGAAAGGAGAAAACUAGCUGCUCGAGCUGGACCCCACAUGCUCCAGAAAAUGGCCGCCAGAUUCUCUAGGCUCCUUGAAUUGGACCUCUCUCAGUCCGUCUCCAGGUCCUUUUACCCCGGCGUCACCGAUUCCGAUCUCGCUGUAAUCGCUGAUGGCUUGAAGUCCCUCCGACUCCUCAAUUUGCACAACUGCAAAGGUAUGAUCUUUCUCCAAUUCAACUAAAUUAGACUCAUUUUCAGCUGCAACUAAUAUAAAGAUUGUGUCUUUUAUCUUCCCAGCCCUUAACUUUUUAGUUUCGUUGCAAAAUUCCUCUUAUGGGAUCAUUGGGUUCUAAUAUCUAAGCAAACAAAUGCAUAAUAUGAAUCAAGUGCUGUCUUCUUUCAUCGUGUUAAAUUUUAUGUGUUUGCAUAUAUUUCAAUGGUGAGCAAAUACAGGUGUUACUGAUCGUGGAAUGAUGUCAAUCGGGAAUGGGCUUCCUUGCCUGCAAACCUUGGAUGCUUCCUAUUGUAGAAAGCUAACGGACAAAGGACUAUCAGCAGUGGCCGAGGGCUGUCCUGAUUUGCGGACGCUUCACCUAGCUGGUUGCAGGUUUCUCACUGACGAAAUACUUAAAGCUCUCGCCACAAACUGCACCAACCUAGAGGAAUUGGGCCUGCAAGGUUGCUCCAACGUAACAGAUUCCGGACUUGAUCAUCUCGUCGGUGGCUGUCGCCAUAUCAAGUUCUUAGACAUCAACAAAUGCAGCAAUGUAGGGGACUUGGGGGUUUCCAGUGUUUCCAAGGCGUGUUCUGUUUCCUUGCAGACGCUAAAGCUGCUGGAUUGCUAUAAAGUAGGGGAUGAGUCUAUUUUCACUUUGGCAAGACACUGUGAAAAUCUCGAGACCCUCAUCAUCGGAGGCUGUAGAGAUAUAUCUGAUGCAUCUAUGAAGUCGUUGGCCACUGCUUGCAGCCGGAGUCUGAAGAAUUUGCGGAUGGACUGGUGUUUGAAUGUGUCUGAUUCGUCACUAAGUCGCAUCCUUGGCGAGUGCAGAAAGCUGGAGGCUUUGGAUAUUGGAUGCUGUGAAGAGAUAACAGAUGCUGCUUUUGGGGGAUUGACCAUGGGUGAGACUGAUCUGGAGCUCAAAGUUUUGAAGGUCAGUAACUGUCCAAAGAUAACCAUUACUGGGAUAAGAAUGCUUUUGGAUAAAUGCAUCAACUUGGAGUACUUGGAUGUAAGGUCCUGCCCUCAUGUGACAAAGUUCGAAUGCGAUGAGGCUGGCUUGCAUUUUCCAUCAUCUUGUAAAGUGAACUUCACUGGUAGUCUGAAUGAGCCAGAUGUUCUAGUCUGAGCGAGGAUCAUUCAGCCAUUCAGGUACCUGCAGAAAUGCAGAGUGUAUGUAAAAUUGAAGGAGGUUGGGGGUGUACAGCAUUGGACAUUCAGUGUUGUCUAGAGAGUUUUUUACUUAUAUUUGUGGGAUGUGUGGGAUGUGUGGGAUGUGUGGGUUGUUUAGUUACUUUCAUCUUUGUAAUCGUUUGUGGCAUAUUCACAUUGAUCGUGGUAUCAUUUUGGCUGUGGUUAAAUUUAUGUUAAAAAGUAUCCUCCUUUAUAUUGUACUGAACUUUGUGUGUCAUUACAGCAUAUUCGGUGUUGGUGUUUGUGCUUACUUGAGUAAGUUUUAGGUUUGCCAGUUGGCACCAGACCACCAUCUGCUCUGAUACUAAUAAUGUAGUUACAAAUUGGGUUCCUCUUCUUUAGCUGCCAACUUUGGUCAAAUACUUUCUUCCUCCAACAAGUUGGUGGGUGGAUGAGCUGGUUUUUGACACCAGAAAUUCUAUUAUUCUGGAAUUCAAAGUACAGGAUGACAAAACCCUCUUAAAUGCCAUUUAAUUCUAACGAGCAUUAGUUGGAUACUUAACCUCCGCAGGAAGUCUAAUCUCAUUUACAAUCUUUCAAUUCUUUACACUGACUAACUAAUUGCUUUCAGUUUGGCAGUUUGCUUCAGCGGGUGGGGGGGAUUAUGCUGAAAUCCUGCUGGUGGAUAUUGCCAGGUCCAGGUACUUGAAAGCUUUCUUGUAACUAAGGAACCCCAUGAACCAGAAAUCAAACCCGUCAACGGUCACUAUCUCCAUAUAUUUCUGUGAUGGCUUCUCCAUAUUCUCACUCUGGUUGGCCAUUUCUAUCUUUUCUAGUGGGACCACAACCUUAUAGUGAACUCUGAUGGAUUUUCCCUGAGGAGAUGACAGCUGAAUUGAUCUCUCACUACAGAAGGCAAGCUUGUGAGUGGAUAUGAAUAGAAGGCCAGCAAUGGGGCCAGAAGUGGUUGAUAAAUAACACUGGGAGGCCUUCAUAAGUCUCUCCCCUUCGCUAACACUGAACAAUUGCCUAAACACUUUCUUCACUCCUCCCACUUGCAGAAUCCUGGCCCCCAGGCUCAACUUCCCUUUCAAGGUCUCACUGAUUUUGUUUCCAAGUUUCACUGCACCAUCACAAAUCAAGCAACCACCAAGGUCAGAAAAUCACACUAUACCAUCAUGUUUCAACUCUGUUUUACCAUAAAUGAGCAUUAGUAAGUAGUUUACCAUGCUCUCGGAUUCCAUGUGCGAAUUUGUCUGCUUUCUUCCCAAGCUUGUUCAUCCUUUUUAGCAUUGAAUCCACUUUGUCUGCAACAUUGACAGCCCACUUAGUAACUUACUCCAAACAUGAAUAGAAACAAAAGUACUUAUGACAAUGGAUGGAUGGAUGGUAAUUACUUUGUUUUUUGAGCACUAGAGAUUGGUGGGCAGGAGUAGGGAUGUAGCGGUUUGGUUCAUCUUCAAGGAGUAGGGAUCUAGGAGUAGGAGGCAUCCUUGAAGCAGAUGAGGUGAUUGGAUGGCCAAUGACUUGGCCCUGGAGAUAUGAACCCUUCAUGUUUUGGAAGCUUUAGUUGAUCCUUGUCUUGUGUGUGUUUGCUUCAAAAGAUGAUCAAAAGCUUUGAUCUUUAGCUGCUUACGUUGAUGAAGGAGUUGUAGGUUUGUGUUGGUUACAAGAACAAGGAUGGGAGAUAUAUAAUAAGGAGGGUGGGGCGACCGAGGAAAAAGAAAGGUUCACACUUUUCAGUAUGCAUGACUCAGCGAUGAAUCAUUGACUAGAAGGAAAGGAAGUUGUUUUUAAGAUAAGAUUUGGAGCAAGAGGGAGAAAUGAGCAAUGUUCAACUGUUAACAUAGAAAGAUGAAUGGAAGUGGGUCCAUCUCCACCUCAAUGUAUCACUAUUCUAAUCCUAUGUUCCCUAUCAUUUUGCAGAAAUAUCUCAACUGCCAAUGUUGUUUUUGUCAUUGGAAUUCCCAUUUAGAUGAAAUGGAAAAGGUCAAUUUUUCAGUAUUAGUUUCAUCAGGUCGGUUGGGAACAGUUUCUCGUCUUUUCUUUUCGAAUGUGCCGACGAGUUAAAAGAAAGGGUGAUUAUCUAAGCUUUUUACUGAGCUGGCUUUGUAGCUUUCUGAUGCAAGCACGCACCCCACUUUCUCUUGUUUGAUUUCCUUUUCACUUUUCUUAUUAUUAAAAAACUAAUCUGAUCCCUUAAUGAGAAAGGAAAAAGGAGACUAAAAUCCUUGGAUACAAGCUGAAUUUGGUGGGAGGUGGUCAUAUUCAGAUGAUGAUCAUUUGAUGCUGUUUGAUUAGGUGGUUACCAUGUCACUAAUUAAGGGUCGACAUAAGCAUGCCGACCGCCCAAAUCCAACACACCAGCAUCAGCAUCAGCAUCGUCCCAAAUUCUGGUAAUACCAGAAACAGCAGAAUAUACUGUUUGUUUUUGACAUCUCUUUUAAUUAUCAGAUCCGGUAUGGAACUUUUCCUUUAUCAAGCUAGGCCAUGCUGAUGUGCAGGUGACGGGGCGCUAAUCCCUCCUACCCCUUUUCAUCAGUAUAUUUUAUUUAUAAAAAAAUCCAACAUAGAAAGAGUGAAAACUGGUGGUCUGGUCUGGUCAGAUCAGGUGGUCUGUUUUGUGGCUGUCUCAUGACAUGUCAUGUGUAUGAUCCCCGCAUCACCCUCCAUCGGUGGAUGACAGGGUUCAAUUGAGUGUUUACUUUAAAGAGUACGUAGGUAGGUAGUGGAAGCAACUUGCAAGUUUUGAAAGUGGAUUACGUGCAUGGUGUCAGAUCAUGUCUAUUUCUUUCUUCUGCAUGGUGCUGAAUGCAAAAGGAGAGAUAAGGGUGGAGAUGGUAGUUGUUUGUCACCAACAAGGGAAAUGAUCUUCUUAUCUUGGCUUUGCUUUCAGCAAGUAGAAAUAAAUGUGUCAUGGAUGAUGAUGAGAUGAUUACAGAGUUGGUUAAAAGAGAGUAGAAAGGCAGGAAAGUAAAAGCCUUGGCUUAAUGGGAAAGAAAAGUAAUUCGAACAUGAGCAGCAGCAUUAUCCUCAUCUCAGGAUGUCGACAGUAAUUUGUCAGGAUGAUGAAGCUGGAAAUCUCAUCCGGGCUUCGUGCUAACUUUUUUCACUUCUCCAAUGAUGGACAAGAAGAAAGUAACAGCAGCUCAAAACCUGCUGGAACAAAUUACUCAAAAUCCAUGUCUCCUUGCACCGGUGAUAACUAAUACGACCAGGGAUUGCAGAAGAAGACAAGGGAGUCCGUGGCAAAGAAAACAAAAGGAAGGUUUAACCUUUCUUAUUUCCAGCCAUAUGCAGCUUUCUCUGUGUUUUCUUCAGUUUGUUUCCAUUGCAGGAUCCAUCAAAUAUAUUGAAGAAAAGGGUGAGUCGGAGGACUGGUAAACUAGCCUUACUUUCUCUUCUCUUUGUCGCCGCAUCUCUGUUUCUUUCCCUUAAGUUGAAGACUCCACCACCACCAAAAUUCAAACGAUCGUCUGUCUAUCUAUUCGGGAAGCUCUAGUUCAGCUUCGCUCACAGUAAACAAUGGAGUCUACACCAGCUUUUCGCUUCCUCAUCAUCAUCCUCUUCUUCCUCUUCUACAUACCUUCUUCGGAACAAUCUUUUCCGAAAGAAGCUCGCGGAUGUGAUGAAGAGCACGAAGCCGCUGGUGGAGGAGAUACUAAUGGCGGGGAAGGAGAGAUGUAAGGUGUUGUUGUACCAAGGACAGCACGAUCUUAGAGACGGGGUAGUGUCGGUGGAGGCUUGGGUGAAGACGAUGAGAAGGUGGGGUGGAUUGGCCGAGUUUAUGGAUGCGAGGAGGGAGGUAUGGGAAUCGGAUGAUGGAUUGGUGGCUGGGUAUGUGCAGCGAUGGGGGAGUCUGACUCAGGCGGUGGUUCUUGGUGCCGGACACCUUGUCCCGACUGACCAGCCGAUUAAUGCUCAAGCCAUGAUUGAAGGAUGGAUUUUAGAGACGGGAUCUUUUGGUGCUUCUGCAGCUAAGCCUAACCAUUACAGGUGGCAAAUCUGAUAUACGUACCAAUCACCCGGCCAUCAGAAGUUUCAAUGCAGUUCACCGACUUGAAUCGGAUUAGCGAAGUUAUCAACAUGCAACCACCAUGAACACUUGAAACCCAGAAGAGAAAAGGGAUGAAGGGCCUCUAUCGUAAUUUAGAAUAAUCAUAGUGUACAGAUGUACUAUACUAUUGUUAUUCAUGAAUCAUGAGACUACGAAGAUGGUCUGAUCCCAUCAAUGUAUCAAUGCAGUGUUGUAUAUUGAAUCGGAUGUGCUCAAUAAACCACUUCGAAGUCAUUCAAAGAAUGGUUUAAAAUGUAAGUCCUAAUCAAAGAUACAAGUGUAAAUUUCACUUAUCUUUUUAAGAAAAUGUGAUUUCUGGGCCAUUCCGGAACUUUUUCUACAGAACAAGUCAAGCCCCUCAUCUAUUGAUCUGGAAAUCGGCAGGGAGGAACGAGAACUAUCAAAGAAUGAGACGAUAAUUCUGUUCUAUUAUUUAAAAUUGAACGAGAACUCUAAUUAUAGAGUUUACAGAGAAAGUAAAUAAGAUAGUGUCCACAUAGGAUACACUUGCCUAAAAUAUGUUAAAACUUACUUUCUAAUUAGAAUUAAAACUAAGAAAUAGAAUCAUAAUAGUACCAAUAAUAUGCCGUAUCUCAACAAGAACCCUAAGAAUUACUUACAUAUCAGAUUGCACAUUUGUAACAGGAACAAUAAUGCACAGCAGCAGCUAUGUUAUUUAUACCUGCAAAGAUCACAAUUAAACUGAAUAGAUUUUUUAUUGGCAAAAAAACUUGGGAAACAAUCUUUCAAGAUAACUGAUAUUAGGAUGUUCCAACCGAAUAUACUAUUAGCUACUGAACUUUGAACUCCAGAACUGAGGGGUGCCUUGUAGCUUGAAGGUCCUCCUAGCAAUUGGUACGACCCAUCCACCUGGUCAGCCUGAUCAAUCAUCUUCCCCGAGGCCGAAUCCUGAAACUCACAUGAUCCAUGGCCAAAUAUUACUUCACACUUCAUAUCUCUAGUUAGUUGACUAACAAACAGAAGAUUGCAGCUGAGCUUAGGAACAUAAAGGACAGGGAAUAAGGUAAUAGACGGUGUGACUUUAACUCGUCCAAUCCCUUUGAUGGGUGCCAAGGUUCCAUCGGCAAUUCUAACCCCUGAACCUAUUGAAUAGGGUUGAAUGUCCUGAAUAAUACUCAAGUUUCCAGUUAUGUUGUCUGUACAACCAGAAUCUAAGAUCCAUACAGGACUACCUGAAAUUUGAGUGCUAGAAGCAAAAGAGAAGAUACCUUUGCUAGCCAUUAGACUAGGGGAUUUCCCGCUUGAAGAAGCAGCAAACUGAGUAAACAUUUUCCAAAGCUGUUCCAUUUGACCCUUUGAGAAUGAUUCCUGAACUUCUUCUUCUUCAUUCUUCUCAGCCGUGUUGGCACGCUUGUCACGUUUGCCUUUGCCCUUCUAAUUUGUCGACCUCCCAUGAAGUGAAUAACACUCUUCUCCAGUGUGUCCAGUCCUCUUGCAAUGAUCACAAUACUUGAGAGAAUGUGCAACGAGAGCUGAUCCUUCAGCAGCAGGUUUCUGCUCUCCUGGCAGCAUGACUCUUCGCCGACUUGACUCCCGUCGAACCUAAGCAAAAGCCUUCCUGAGAUGGGGAAGAGGUGAGAUUGCCAUCACCCGACCGCUUACUUCAUGCAGCUCUUUGUUGAGUCCAAGCAGAAAUCGGAUUGUCCGACUUUCAUCCACCAAGGUUCAGUAGGUGGCUGCAUCCUCAGUACACUUCCACUUUGGGGCUCGAUACAUAUCCAUUGAAGCCAUAAAUUGGAUAGCUUGUUGUGGUAGGCCGAGAUAGUCAUAUCUCCCUGUUGCAGAUUAUAUAACUGUGUCUCGAUCUCCAUUAUUUCAGCUGUAUUGUCCAUGUUAGAGUAGGCGUCUUCAGCACUAUCCCAGACAUCCUUGACAGUCUUGUGGAGCAAGUACAGUUCACCAAUCGCCUUGUCCAUGGUGUUUAGAAGCCAUGACUUAACCAGGUUGUCGUUGAUCUUCGACAUUGCUUCGGUAGAUUCGGAGCUGGAAGAUCGCCAUUGAUAUAGUCCUAUUUGUCACGGUGAGCAAGAUGAAUCAGCAGCGAUUGAGACCACUAUAAACAGUUGUCGCCAUUGAGUUUGUGAGUCAUGAUGAACGAGGCAUAGUCGUUGGUUGGAGAAGGCAGGUUGUUGUUGUUAGAUCCCUGACUUGUUGUGUUGUCAGGGAUAGUAACUUCAUCCACAUUUCAGAACUUGAUAGUUCCAGUCAUGAUGAGCCGUCCAAUCAAAGAAGAGGAGAAAGAGAUUUAAGAGGAGUGCUGGUCGGCAACGGCGCCGGUGGUCCUAGGGUUCCAACCAGAUUUUGAUACUAUGCCAAACAAUGAGACGAUAAUUCUUUUUUAUUAUUUAGAAUUGAACGAGAACUCUAAUUAAUAGAGUUCACAGAGAAAGCAAAUAAGGUAGUUUCCAUGUAGGAGACACCUACUUAAAAUAUGAUAAAACUUACUUCUUAAUUAGAAUUAAAACUAGGAAAUAGAACAAUAAUAAUAAUUAUAUGUCGUAUCUCAACACUCCCCCUCAAGCUUGACGUAAGCGUUGUAAAGGUCAAACUUGGACUUCAAAUAUUCCAACACUUCUCGUGAUGUAGCCUUUGUGAGUACAUUUGUUGUUUGUUCUGCGGAAGGAACAUACAGUACUUCAAUGACUCCACUUGAGGCCUUCUCGGAGAUGAACUGUCGAUCAACUUCAACAUGCUUGGUCCAGUCAUGAUAGACAGGAUUCUUGACAAUGCUUAUGAUAGAUUGGCUAUCAGCUCUAAUGACUAUAGGUCCUCUACAUUCAACCUUCGGUUCUUCUAAGAUUCUUUGUAGCCAUAUACCUUCGUAUAUUCCUAGAGCCAAAGCUCUAUAUUCUGCUUCUGCACUACUUCGAGCAACCACAUGUUGCUUCUUGCGCUUCCAAGUUACCAGAUUCCCCCAUACAUAAGUACAAUAUCCACUUGUAGAUCUUCGAUCCAUCAGUUCAACCGCCCAGCUUGCAUCAGUAAACACUUUAUUUCCCUGGCUGAAUGCUUCUGAAACCUUAAACCAAGUCCAAGAGCUCCCUUUAGAUAUCUCAAAAUCCGAAUAACUGCUUCCAUAUGUUCCUAUGUCGGGUUCUGCAUUUGUUGACUAACGAUUCCAACGGCAUAGACAAUGUCAGGUCUCGUAUGGGAAAGAUAUAUCAAUUUCCCUACAAGCUUCUGGCACCUUUCCUUGUUAGUUGGUGUUCCGGGUUCUUCUCGAUUUCACCUCUUGUUCUGCUCCAUCAGUAUGUCAACAGGUUUACAGCCUAGGAGUCCAAUUUCCGACAACAGAUCGAGAAUAUGUUUCCGCUGGCAUAUUAUCAAUGCAGCCUUCAAUCUAGCCACUUCCAUUCCAAGGAAAUUGCGGAGCUGCCCCAAAUCCUUAACCUAAAAUUCUGAUGACAGCCGAUGCUUCAACCGAAGAAUUUCAACUUCAUCAUCUCCGGCGAUAAUAAUAUCAUCAACAUAAAAAAUCCCAGACAUCAUUAAGCAAGAACCCUAAGAAUUACUUACAUAUCAGAUUGCACAUUUGUAACAGGAACGCACAGCAGCAGCUAUGUUAUUUAUGCCUUCAAAGAAAGAAUUACUAGCAAAAGGCUUCUGUACAAGGCAAUCCUUCUUGCCAUGACAAGGAAUACAGACAGAAACAUCUGACUGACUACUGCUGUUGCUAAAAUAUUCAGUUUCAAACAGUAACCUGCAAAUGGAAUGAAGAAACCCCAAACAAGAAUUACAGAAACAACAAGAUCUGCUUUCAUUGCUGCGCUGUCCCUAAAUCCCAUAAUAUUUGUUCCCACAGCUUAAUCACUGUUCUAUACAGCUGCAUGUAGUAUCCCUCACCUUCUCUCCUCAACUUAUUACCCCCUUUUCGUGGAAGGUGGCACCACCAAACCACAUUCUCAACAAAACAAACCAACAUUGCAAUAGGACAUAAUUUUGCUUGCUUGCACUAUAGAUAGAAUCUUUAUUCAACCUACAAUGAAGAACCCACCACUCCUAACUCCCCCCUACCAUAAAAUCAAUUUUACCUCAUCUGUGUUACAACAGCCCGGUCUCUUUACAUUACCUAUGCGCACUUGUAGUCGGGGGCAUUGGAUAUGCCAUCGGACCACCCAUUGUCAUUGGAGCCCCUGGAACCAUUGCUCCUGGAACUCGGGCUCUCACUCCAAAUGCCAUGUGUGAUGGUGAAGCUAGAUUCACAGGCGUCCCUACUGCUGAAACCAAUGGACCUCCAAUUGGUUGACCUAUUGUCGGAGCACCGUAGAUCCCCACCACUCCUGGAGGUCCGCCGGGAUGUUGAGAUGGCUGUUUCCCUGCCUUUCCCGAACCCCCUACACCAGCAGAAGCGCCAUUUGUUUGUCCAGUUAUUGGUCCUUGUGCAGCAGCUAUCUCCCCAUUGUUUAGACUAGUGAUAUCGUGAAUGCUGGAACGCCUUCGGUCCUUGUUCAUCGAGUUCAACCGGAUGAAAUACUUCUGAGCAUGGCUAGCAACUUGGGUAGGUGUCCUCGUCACCACAAAAUUCCUCGAUAUACUUCUCCAGUCACCUUUUCCAUAUUUUUCCAAUCCUAGAAGGAAUAACCUGUUGUCACAAGAGUAAUAUAUUUUCAGUAACAGGAUCCAUUGUCCAAGACUUGUAAGUUCAUCAUAGGCAACCAUUUAUAUAGUUGAAAAGAUUAAACAAAUUAAUUAACAGAAGGGUACACAAUGAAGUAGGUUCCUGUUCUAAGAGAGCAAUGCAGAAAACUAAUCGAGGUUUCUUCUUUUGCAAUUUAUGAUGCAAAUACUGGCAACCAUGUCCAAUGCCCCAUCCUUAAAUUCCACAUCAAUUCUAGUCUAUGAUGCAAUGCACGUGCAGAUCAAUUUAGAUAUGUCUAUGCAGAAGUCUAUCCACGCAAUUAAAAUCCUCUGUGAUAACAACAUACGGAAGCAUUCCUAUCCUCUCCGUGCAGUGCAAGUAAGAGACUAAAGGCUGCCAAAGAUUGUUUUAGAGAGUCUCAACAAGCUGCCCAAAGUUGAUGGGAACAGUAGCAAAGCUGUGUAGGAAUUUUUCCAGCAUAUUUGUUGGGUAACAAAUUUAUUAGCGUUUGAAACUGAAACUAGAGAUGUGCAGCUUAUACCUAGCUUGAAGAUAGGGAUACCAUCCAGUGAUUUCCAUGUAUUUGUGAACAUCCAAGAAUGUCGCAAAUGCUGUGCAUGCAAGUUUAUUGGUAAGGAAGAAAAACCACUUGGCAAAAGGUAAAAUCAGUUUGCAACAGCAUUACCCAUUGCGUUAAAAUCAGCUAUAAACAUAUAUCAUUUUGAGAAAUUAUAGUACCAAGAACAAGUUUCAUCUAUUAAAUUCAAUUUCGAGGAGAACCCAAGGAAAUGAAAGUCUUCGAGUCAUGUUAUAUAGUCAAUCUCUUAUCCUCCAAGGAAAAUUGAGAAGUGAAAUUCAAAACCAGGUCUUGAAAAGCAAUGAGAAACUAAAACACAACACUAUACGGUUCUGCCCUGAUAUAAGCAACACUAAAACAAGUAUGUGAUUCUUUCUCUUUCUAGGUACUGUGAAAGAAUGGAAAUGAACAGAAGAAUAUGCGAUUCUUUCUCUUUCUAGGUACUGUGAAAGAAGGGAAAUGAACAGAAGAACCUUUAUUUUGGUAUAAACAGAAGAACUCCUUUAAAACAGAGAUAAGCCCUUCAUCAGUCAUGAUAGGUAAAGUAGGAGGCAUUGUACUUCGAAUGUUAAAGAUUAUUGAAGAAGUUCUUAAAUAUCUCAUACAAAGUUGUUACUUAACCGCUGUUCACAAAUGAUGGAGUGCAGUUAUGUAGCUUACUAAGUUACUAUAGCGAGGGAGGGCACCCACUAGUAUUACGUUACGUGAGAUAGUUGUCUAUAGAUUAUAAAGGAGGACAUUCACCAAAGUAAAGCAAUUUAAGUCUUUAUGACCAAAAUGUAUAGGGCACAACGCAGACAUGAGUUCCAGGCCUUUCUUCCACUAAAGUACUUCGAUUAAAAUCUAAAUCCCGAACAAAGUUCCAAAAUUCUGUAAAUAGUAAAUUACCACCAACCCCUACUACAAGUGAAAAGGUAACAGGAGAAUACAAAUCUUCAUUAGCAGAGGGAAAGGAAAAAUUGACUCCAUUUUAGCAGCGCGUGUAUACAAUUCUCAUUUCUAAGUUACUCAUCGUAUAUUCUUCUACGAGCCAAAACACUUAGCAGCGGAAAUUCUCAAUAUAUUGAUAAGACAAAGAGGUCAUUAGUAUAUAGGGAAUAGCAAUUGCAAUUCAGGCGGAGCAAAAGGGAUACCUAUGUUCAUCUUCUGUCCAAGCAAUUCCCUUGCGGCGUUCCUGAUCUGCCCUUGAACCCUUAUUCCCCUGAUUGGACUCACUGUUGUUGUUUCCUCCUCCAUGGCCACCCUUCUUACCAGUACCUUCGUCGCCGCCAUGGCUGGUGGAAGACUCGGAAGACGAAUUAUAGCUGGGUAAAGGAACACACCCAGAUUCAAUGAGACCAAUGUCCUCAAGCAGGAGGUCAAAGUGGUCUUUAACCUCUUCCAGUGUCUUCCCCUCCACGUCUGUAGCAAUUUUCUCCCAUCGAUCUGAAUCGUCCUCUGGGUAAGUUGCCAGUGCAUUUUCGAACGCUUUAUCUUGCUCUCUAGUCCAAGAGCAGCUGCUACCCACUUCAUCCACAGCCAUCUAGCUACUUGUUCGUAAUCCACAAUCUGAAAGAGGGAAACUCUAUUGAAGACGAGCGGUGCAGCUUGGAAUCUACUCCAGAAGCCCCUGCUGUGGCCAAGGUGUUUCAGUGAGAAGGUUUGUAACCUUCAGAUGCUCAUUAACACUGAAAUUCGACGAGGAAAACAGAGAACGAUAAGAAGAGAAUGGUGAAUUGAAGGAACAGAGGAGGAGAAAAGAGGGGAUUGUUGAAAUUUUGUCACUUGCCUAUUCCUUCGAUACCCUAGAAGAUUAUAUACGAUUGCUGAAGAUAAACAAAGGGAUAAGGGUGAUUGUGAGCUUUAUUAUCUCUAGCGGUCACUUCCUUAUUCUUUCUUUACAAAUUGAUCAGUUAAAGUUUUCCUCCAUAAAUCGGUCACAAACCUUUUUAUAUUUUGACUAUUAGUAACCUAUUCUUAUGAUUGCUUUCGGGUGGGGAUUGUAAAAACGGUUACAUUUAUCAGUUAGGUGAAUCGAAAUCAUAAACUCGUAAGAUUUUAUGAAAUAAUGUAUGAUAUUCUCAUAUGCCACUGUCACCAUUGUCAGGCAUCCCACCACAACUAAUUUCGGCUAUUUGUGAUAUGUUGUUAUUGAAUUUAUUUGCUAAUAUGUAAUGUGAACACUUAUUCCAAUUGAAAUUAAUGGAUGGAAGCCAACAAAAAAUAAAAUAAAGCCAAAAAAAUAGAUUUAAUGGUUCUGGGUGUCCUUCAUAGUGACGAUUAAUAAUAAAAAAAUAAGAAAAUUAAUGAAUAAAAGAAAUAAUUAAUCGGGUAAUGUGUUGGGAGGGAAAAAUUAAUCUGAAAGUCAUUAAUAAUGUAUGAAAGGAAUUAGAAGAAUUAAAUUAAUAUUUGUGCGGAAGUAGGUGUCAUUAGAAAAAAAUCAAAUUCCAGGUAUAAGUAUUUUUAAUCUAUUACAAAAUGAUCAUUGAAGUUAUAAUGUCGAGCAGUGCCGAGGAUCAGCUAACGAUUCGGCAGCAGGCAUUUUGAACAAUAGGCGGUAGGGCACGAGCGGUAGCACGAGGGAGAGUUGGAUAUGAUGUGUUCAAGCAGUGGCACUCGCUCUGCAGACUUGGCCAUUCACGUCGGAGUUUAGAGGCAUGGGCUAGCAAGUAUGAAGUGCAACUAACAACUCUUACUGAUGUCUCGGAUCACGGUUUGGUGCAGUUCAGACGGGCUGGCGAUUUCGUUAAGUGACCUGUGUUACUACAGCAGCACUAUUGUUGGCUGGCUGGUUAGUUUCUGAGGGAAGCUAUUGCAUCAGCUCAUCAGAUGAUCUGCAAAGGUUAGUGUUUCGGAUAGGCUUUGCAAAUUACAAGUUUGGAUGAAGUUAAAUGUCCAAUUGAAUUGACACAGGCUUUGCAAAUUGCAAACUGCUGGAAAAUCCAAUGGAAUGCGUCAACUAAAUGAGAGAAGAGAAGUAAAUGUGUCAGUAACCAAAAUAGACAAACUAAUAACGCCAUUAUGAUGCUCUUAUACCACACCAACAGCAGAAUUAACACAGGCUGGAAUCCGACUAUGCAUCGCAGACCGAUUGCAUGUGUCUGCAGGAUUCAGCCAUGUCGCGCCAGUGCCGGGGUCCUAAGACUGAGGCAUUCGUGAUGCCUGGCCAUCAUAAGCAAGCAGUAGAAGAUAUGGCAAAAAGAAAAAGCAAUGAGGGGGAUGAACAGGAAAGCAGAAAUGAAAGGAGAUUGUUGUGGGUAAACAAGUCCUGGGAUUACAUACAGUGAUUACAAAUAACAUCGUGUCUGAAAUGGAAUUACAUAAAUUCAUUCACACGCAGCAGAGCAAUAUUCUCUAUACUAGUCAUUUGUGUACCUGAAUAACAAGUAUUAUAAUAUUCUGAUUCAUUGAAGUACACAGCCGGUGAGGAAGAAGGUUUCUUACUGGGACAUCCACAAAGCUUGUGGAUUGGAUGACGCUAGUUGUUGUCUUCCAGCUACGGAGUCGCUAAAUGUGCUCAUUCCUUGGGGAGAAAUUGAAACCACCAAUCGAUCAAUCAAGGUACUCGAACUCAUCGUCCCGGAGAUGGGCGAAUAGCUUGACAGGUGCGUCUCGACCUUCGAUGUCCAACAAGAAUUCUACCUUGUAAGGGAGAUUGGCGGAGAUUUGCUUGCCCUUCCAAACCCCGACGAACUGCUUGAUCUUGCCUUCUUUGCCAGUCAGAUCCACCUCCGGCACUUUAGGGACAUGGUAGACCUUCAGCGGCACCUUCACUCUCACCCUCGCUCCAAUCUUAUGCUGCUCUUCUUGCUGUUGGGGAUCCGAUUUGGCGGAGGAUUCGUUCGACGACCGGACGGCCACUUCGCAUGAGACCACCAGCUUCCGAUUAUGCUUCCGAACAGAAGGAGGAGUGGAGGAGAGUGGCGGGAGGAUUCGAGUAGUAGGCCGGGGAGAAGGCAGAAGGCCUAGAACGGCGGUGGCGGCAGUGGAGGAGGAGGACGCACAAAAACUCAUCUCGACUCGAGUGGCAGUUGUCUGUCAGUCUGCUCGCUUCUGGAUUGAGUGUGGUGGUGGAGGAAAUGGUGGUGUCUGUGUGGUGUGUGUUGCCUAGUAAUGUAUAUUUCUUCCGUCGUUGCCCGCCGUCAUUUUGUAUUGUUUGGGUUUCCGACUGUGGAUAAUUUGGGAUUUACGGAAAGAAAAGAGGAUUUAGGGAUUGGAAUUGCACGCGGGAACAGAGAGAUGGGCUGAGAGUGUGUGGAUGAGGAGUAAGGGUGGGCCAUGGAUUUAGGAACCACACAACUUAUCUAUCUUUACCUUCUCGGCUCAUCGUCUGGAAUUUGUCCCAUUUCAAAAUGCUCUACGCCAAACUUGGGUUAAACGUGUCAAAUCCGACGGGUUAGUCGAUAUAGAAAAGAAACGAGAUAACCUAACAUCUAUCUGAACUAUGAUAUCGCUCUCAACACUACUCGGCCAGUGGUAGAUACAGGAGAUCCGCUCCAAGGCCCGACCCAUCUCAUUUUCCUAUUUAGUAAUUGUAUCACAUUGUGGCAAGACUGUUGUGAAGCGUCCUUUUAUCAACUAGUAUUAUCAACCUAGAAUCUAAGUGUUAAAUCUUCUAUAGCUUGUGUUUGUAACAUCUCGUCCAGACUGGAAAACCGACUGUAUUGAUUCUUGAUAUUAAGCUUGGAGUCAUUCGGAGAUCAAUCAAAGGUUGACGAAAUGAAAGAAACUAGUUUGUAUAGUUGCAGUAAAAAAGGUUAAGCCUCAACUGUCUGUUGUAUGUUGGCCUGCCAUAUAACAGCAGUAACUCACGUGUGUUUGAUGCUAUUGGAUUUUCUCACUCCAAAACCUAAUUCAAAAGGUGAGAUUUAUAAGCAACACCCAACCCUUUCUAUUCUAUGAUGUGUGCUAGAUAACCCAACGAUGUGUGAUUGAUAACCCAACAGAUCCUUCCACUCUUCGAUAUAAAAGUUGAACCAGAGUCUGUGGAUCCAUUAGACAGGACGGCUCGCUUAAGCACACGAUACACAAAUACAUCAUGUCCCUAUCCUGUGGAGCGCCACAACAGCGUCUCCUACCUUGCACAGACCCUUCUUCGUUGCUGAUCUCAGAGCCGCGGCUAAUAUCUCCUCAGUCGAUUCUGUAUCAGUAGCCUUUGCAGACCCUUCCGCCAGCACAGGGAUCAGUCCCCUGUAUAUCAGGCUGUGCCUUGCUGGCGCCUCAUCACUACACGACCAAUCGAACGAAUCGGUGGUCAACACCGGCACAACCACAGAAAGAAUUGGUACCGCGGGCCUGUACUUAGCCACCAACGUGGCUGUCGUUCCGCCACGUGUCAGCACCACUAUCAGCUUCGCUCUAGCUUUGUUCGCUGUCCGGACAGCAGAAGACGCAAGGCUCUCCAAGGGGCUCAUCGGAAGUGGAGUUGCCCUUAUCAUCUCCUUAAAGAUGGUCCCAUAGUCCAGCGACGACUCGGCUUCUAUGCAGAUCCUGCGCAUGGUCUUCACCGCGAGUUCAGGGUAUGCGCCGGCUGCACUCUCCCCACUCAGCAUCACGCAAUCAGUGCCGUCGAGGACAGCAUUGGCAACAUCCGUGGCUUCUGCACGAGUUGGACGCGGAGACUUGAUCAUGGACUCGAGCAUCUGAGUAGCAGUCACCACCGGCUUCCCCACUAGGUUGCACUUGUAUAUCAUCAUCUUCUGAGCAAGGAAUAUCUUCUCAACCGGAAUCUCCAUUCCCAGAUCGCCACGAGCAACCAUGAAUGCAUCCGUCUCUCGCAAUAUCUCGUCGAAGUUGACAACACCCUCCUGAUUCUCAACCUAUCAAACAAAGAGGACAAAAAUAGGGAAGAAAGCUGAUAAAUAUGUUCUUCAGACAUACAAUAUAUUAUAAUGAUAUAGAUAAUGAGGGCAUCCAGCAGCAUAACAUUAGAACUUAGGCCUUGCUUGGUGGAGGGAAUCUUAAAACCAUAUACUUGAUUGAUCCAAUAACAAUGAUUAAACAGCAUGCAUUUGUAAAUGCAAGGGAUUGACACUAGGGAUGUUAACAAAUCCUUUGCUUGGUAUUCAUGUCAAGGUGGAAUUUGAGAAAUGUAAAACAAAUGAUUCCUUUGGUAUCAAAUCUUAUAUGGGUAAGGUUUCAGAAUCCCUGUUGGCAUGUAUUUGAAUUUUGAGAUUUUAAAUUACAUAUAUUUGCCUCGUUGUUUCUAGUACUGUAUCAAAUAGAGGGUUCAAUCAAAUACAUAGAUACUUAAAUACAUGGUUUAAUAAAAUUACUCAUAUUUAGAAGCAGAAGAUUCACACAACAGGAGGCAGGGCAACAAGCUCAUUGUCAUCAUCCAUCCUAAAGAUAAUUGACAGCAAAAAUUAAAGAGGGGGGAAGUUACCUUAGACAUUAACUUGAUAUUCUUGGCAUGGGGUCCAAGGACCUUGCGGACAUUGACAAGGUCAGAGCCCUUGCGCACAAAUGAGAGAGCAAUCAUAUCGAUGGAGUUAGGAACACCCCCAUUGAAGGAUGUCUUCCCUGUCCUUGUCAGUGAGAGUUGGGAGAUCCACCACAACACCCGGUAGAUUGACAUUUUUCCUCUCGCCAAGCACGGCAGCAUUUUCACAGCGGCAUCUUACGGUUCCAGCCUUUGGAUCACAGGAUAGCACGGUGAGGGAGAUGGUGCCGUCGGAACACAAGAUAGUGUUGCCAGGUUUCACAUCCAGAGGAAGCUUCUUAUAGCUCAUGGAGAUCGUCUCCGUAUCUCCCUUGAUGGUGUAGUCAGUAGAGAUGGUGAUUUCUUGGCCCUCUUUGAGUUGGAUUGGCUUCUCAUCCUUGAGGAAUCCGGUUCGAAUCUCUGGUCCCUGCAACGGAUAAAAAAGAUUCUUAAACAUCGAGAGACUGUUUUGACAAAUUAGAAAGCAUUGGAAGAGAAGAGUGUAUAAGAAAUAGACCUUGGUGUCGAGCAUGACGGCGCAGAGGAUGCUGGAAUUGUGCAUGGCGAUGCGGAGGUUGUCCAAGGUCUCCUGGUGGUAGUCGUGGGAGCCGUGGGAGAAAUUGAAGCGGGCGACGUUCAUGCCAGCCCUGAGAAGCUUCUCGAUCAUGGGGACAGAUCUAGAGGCAGGACCGAGAGUGCAUACGAUUUUGGUCUUAGGGACGCGACCUUCGUCGACUUCGUCGUCGCCCCGGAGGAGGCCCUCGAUAUCAAUGUUAGCCAUUCUCAGUAGUUGAUUGAUCCGCUGCUGCUGUGAAACUGAGAGUUAAGUAAGCACAAAAUGAAGAAGGUGAGUGUAAGGUUUAGAUCUAACAAGAGAGGAAGUGGAAUUGAGCGAGGCGGAGAGUAGUGGAUGGUGACAGCAGUCGGAAAGUUCAGGCAAAAUUUCUGUUUCAAAUGGUGGGUGUGUGCUACAAUGUCUGUCCUCCGCCCCAAGUUUCGAGUGACAUUAAUUAAAACUGUGGGUGCGGUGCAAAACUGCGACUUGUUCAUCUUCUUCAGUGGUUUAGUUUCAGUUUCAGUCACGGCAUUAUCAUACAGCAUCUUUGGCACAACACAACCACCACAUGCAUUACCGGCGGUCUGUGGUACUUGGAUGAGAUAAGCAUUAAUCUAAGCCCUUAAAUCCCCAAAGUGAUCUAAGGGCUUAGAUUACUCGGGAAGUGCACACUUCGUUCCCUUUUAACAUAGCAAUUCAGUAAUUUCAAUUAACAUCAAACUUAAUUACCCACUCUAACCUUAUUAUCAUAUAUAUAUAUGUGAUUCAAUCAAUGUAACUAUCUAUGAAAACAAAUUUGCCUCUGAGUAAUCAUGCUACAUUCAAUCUUCACCAUCUUCGUUAGCUGUUACUUCUCUGGUUAGCUUGUUGUUGCUGCGCCCGCCGCAAUAGCCCUGUCUCGUUUCACCAUUGUCUUCACAAACAGUUCCCCAGCUCUAUAAGACGACCGAACCUGCGCAUGCCGACCCACAAACAAUACGUUAUCUAAUUGCCUCCCAACUACUUCUCGUUGUUCUAGCAGACUCACUUCUGCAGCAAGCAUUGGGUUCUAAAUUUCAGUUCAACACAAGUUUCGUGUCACAAAGAAAUCAACAAUAUUAGAACUAGUCAAAAUCACACACAGAGCCGAAAACGUUUACCAGAGGACCACUGGCUACAUAACGGAAUCCGACAGACUCGCCAUAUUCCUUCCAGAAGACAAACUUCUCAGGUGUCACAUACUCCUUCACAGUUAGGUGCAGUGGAGUUGGCUGCAAGAAGUCGUGCAAUGCUCGUCAGUUUACAAAUUCAUGCUCCAACACUGAACAUAACCAUUGCAGCCAGGGCAUAAAAACCAACACUUCGGAAAUAUAUAGUUGCAUUGGAAAACAUGAGAAAGAAACCUCAUUUUCAGCAUUGUUUCACUUUGAAUCCAGGAAACAUCCAACUCACAUACUGUAUUGGUAGAAACAUAUACUGAAUGGGGGUAUAGAAGCAGAAGUCAAUCCAUAUAUAAGGUCACCUGUAAGUACUGCCCAAGCGUCAGAAUAUCGACACCAAUAGCCCUUAAAUCAGCCAUGGUCUCCUUCAACUCCUCGUCGGUUUCUCCAAGACCCAACAUUAUAGAUGUUUUCGUUAUCAUACCAUCCUUGUUCAGCUUAGCAUGCUUCAACACACUCAAGCUUUGCUCAUACCUAAAAUGCAGAACAAACCAAAUGAGGAGAAAACAAAAGUAGUCAGAGACGACAAGUUUUCAAGUGUACAACAGAAGAAAUGUCGUCCAGCAUGAUGAAUUCUUCCAGAUUCAACCCGGAAACAAAAACAUGACAACAAUUGUAUUUGCAGAGAUUUCAAGUGUGCAGCCAAGCCACGAAGUAUCAAGUGCUGAAUCCAAUUUUAUCAAACUAGUGGAGCAAUGUAGUACCUACCCUGCACGAGGAUCUCUAACAAUUCGCUGAAGGCGUUUCACAGUCUCAACGUUGUGGGCAAAGACAUCCAAUCCUGAAUGUACCAGUGUGUCCACCGCCUCCAAGUCGCCACGAAAAUCAGAGGUCAGACACUCAACCAUGAUCUCAGGCUUCACUUCCUGCGACAAGCAAACAGACAAAAAAAAACCCCGAUCAUAACCACAAAUUCAGAGCUUUGGGAUUCGUCGAGAGACAAUAAAUCGAAAAUCAAGACAAACCUUAAGGGCCAUAACGGUGCGAGCAAAGUGUCCACUCCCUCCAUCAGGCAAAUCAUCGCGAUCGACGCUUGUCAGGACGAUGUAAUCCACACUAUGGAGGAUGGACAAGUUGAGAAUAGGGAAAAAGAUACUCCGUUUACAAGAAAAGAGCGGGAAUACAUACAAACAUACCCCCAAGAAGCGAUAGCCAGAGCGGUGUUGUAGGGCUCGGCGGGGUCUGGAGGGGCAGGGUUCCUGCUGGUUUUGACUGCACAAAAUCUACAGCCACGAGUACAAGUGUCUCCGAGAAGCAUGAUGGUGGCGGUGGAGAUCCCGUCGCUGCCACCGUUCCAGCACUCGCCAAUGUUUGGGCAUUGUGCCUCCUCGCAUACAGUGCUGAGGUUGGACUUGGAGAGCGUUUUCUUAACAUCGUCAAAACGAUGGCCCUGAGGAGCCUUCUGCCUAAGCCACUCGGGUUUCUUAACAUUCGGAUCCCUACCAGUGAACGGACCGAGAGCAGCUGCGGAAGAAGAAGAAGAAGAAGAAGAAGAAGAAGUGGUGCUGCCUGAAGCAAGAUCAACCCUAAUUCGCCAGGAACGAGAAAGCCGAAUCGAAAGGAAGGAGUGGCUGGAAGAGACGGCGUUGGUAGGGGUGGGAUGGUGAACCAUGGAACAAUUGGAGGACAGGAAUUGCUUCUGAAUCAUCAUCGUCGCCAUCGCCUAUGCUCUCUGUCUCGGCUGGCUGGGUUUGGCUUUUCCUUUAAUCGGACAGGAAAUAGAAGAGGAAGAGGUGACGGAGAAAGCAAUGGAAACUGGAAAGGAGGAGAUGGAUAGAAAUGGCAACAUAUAGAGUACUCCGCCGCAGCUGCUACUGCCAAACGAAAAGGGAGAGAGAGAGGAUUAGAGGAAUAGCCAUUUCUUCUGGUUUAUUAGUAGUUUGGGCUUUGUCGUUAAAAUUGGAAUGAAUUUACACCAAGUACUAUUACCAGCGUUGAUACUCGUAACUGACUCACAAGGGAGCGGAAGGCUGAGAAUCCAGUCAAAACAUCAAGCGGGCUCUUUUCAUUCAAACUGAGAGGCUUGGACUUCAGAUCCAAAAGUGAAGGAAUCAGAAAACACUUUAAUCCUCACUGCAAUAAUGUUAAAACAAACCAAAACAACACAGCGUAUUUUUCAAACACUCUUUUUUAAGUUACUAACUACACUAUACUUGGUGCAUGCAGAGCAGCAAGCAGCAUUUCUCUUCUUCCUCCAUUCAGCAACCACACUGACAGCAUCAUCUCUAUCCAAGAGAGAUACAUUUGUUAGCCUUUUCUGGUCGAGUGUGUAAUACCAACCAUGUGUGUUACGUCACGGAACAAUGUCCCCUCCAGUUAGCAGGAAUUUACAAGCAAAUAACUCCCUUGCUCUCAGCCAAUCCACUUCAGCAGAUCAAGCAACUUCCCCUCAGCCUUGGUUGGCUCAUGAUACUUCUUGUAAAGCCAAAUUCAACUCCUGUGCACACUUCCCUACCGAGCCUCCUCGUCUGAAAAACGGCAGGAUAAUCAUUAUAGUGGCGAGCUAUUACUAUCUGACUAGUGUGGGAUGAAAUACUCCAAAACUAUACAUACCUUGUGAAUGUAGAAAGGCAACGCUUCACCUUUUCUAGCUCUACGAAGCAAAGAUUACAUCGUUCCAACCUGUGUGAUCCAAUGAAAAAAUUCAGUGCGCAAAACCAGAAUAAUUACCGUGGAACUGCGGACAACUCUUAACCUGUAAAGUAAUUAAUUACCUUCUCUCUGCCUCAAUGUCUACACCGACAGUGGUGGAUGCCGAUACAGUUGUGUAGAUCAUGGUCCCAAAUGUUCGAACCAACUUCAGCAGCAAGUCCAUUGAGAUGCUCAAGUGUCUGCACUUGUCAAAAAUCAAUCCAAUUAACAUGAUGGAAAUUACUACAACAGACAAAACCAAGCACCCACCAACACAAUUUUUCAGAGAAAUAGCCGUCUUGAUUUGUAGGAUGUUUUUUCAAUCCCUUAUGAUUUAUGAUGAAAUUAACAUUCUUUCAGUUAUUUAUAAUUCCCGUAACCACCCUUGGGAACUAAACAGGACUUCUACAAAUUAAAACAGGUUACACAUCACGUAACCACAAAAUUUUUUAAAGCCGACCCUCAAAGGUUCCAGCAGCUUAAAUCUCGUAUACUAUGAUUGGCUGAACAUAGAAACAGGCUUGAAUCUGACAAUAUCAACAAUCUCAUACCGAUCAAUUUUACUCUCGAGAAGGCAUGUUAAAACUGGCAGAAGAUAUGUGCAAAUGUCCAAUGUGACAAUGUCAAUUUUCUCAGCAAUGAUACUGGUUACAUCAGCAAGAACCUGUAAUUUAGCAAAGCAGAGACAUCAAUGAAUUGUGAAAAUUAACAAGAACUCAACAUUGCCUGCUGGGAAAGGAAAAGAGAGUGUACCGCAUGAUCAGCCAUCUUCUCCAUUGCACUGAUCGCCCCCUUGACAUCACUCCGUUCCCAGUAUCUAUAGACAGCCUGAAAUUAAUCAAAAUUUUCAGUCUUAAAUCACCAACAUCAACUAACUUGACGUUGAACCUGAGUAUCAAAUCAUUAUGUAUAAAUCGUUUCAACGAAGCUGUGGAUGAGAGCAGCAGCAGCAAUACAAUAGUAGAUUGAUAGACCAAUUAUAUUCCAGCAUAAUCCCCUCCCAUGCUCCCAACUAAUGUCAGAUUAUUGAUAAUUGUUGAGAUACGGCAGAAUAGUUAUUAUUAUUUGUUCCUUUUCUAGCUUGUCUUGAUUAGGAAGUUAUUACCUAUAAAUAUAGUAAUAGAGUCCAAUAAGGACAUUCCUUUAUUGCAUAGGAAGUCAGUAUUAUUCUAAUAAGGGUAGUAGUCUUUUCCUAUAAGAACUUGGACUCUAACCCUAAUUGUACAACUCUAUUAUAAAUAGAGCUAGUUAUCAUUCAAGAUCAAUAACAAUAUAAAUUAACUCACAAAUUAGCAGUUUUGGUUCCCAAUUUGACAAUAAUGAUGAUAAGACUUUAUACCAGAACAAUUGACUCUUAAAGAACUCAAUGUUCACAUUCCUACUUAGCAGAAUCGACAGGAAAUACACAAUAGAUUGUCUAUCAGGUGAAGGUUGCAUAACAGAAAAUUGGAACACUGUGAAAGGAACUCAGCUUUAUAGCGAUGACGUUGUGUGUGUGUUACUAAAAAACUAAAACAAAUCAACGGGGCAGAGCCUGUAAGUCCCAUAAUUUCAUGCAGACAUGCAGUCAAAGAAUGGGGCAUGAAGCAUUGUGCCCGCUGUUUCUUCAAUCGCAUAAGUACCAUGCCUUAUUGGAGAACAAUGUCCGUGGAUGGCAGUCAGAGGAAGGCCACUCAAUUCAGUGCAUUCAAUCAUGAAAAGAGUUGCUUCUAUCAAGCAACUGGAUCUCUUGGUAGAAAAGCUGAUCAUUAUUUGAGAGGGUCAGCCCAAUCAAAACAUCUCAAACUCUUUCCCAUAGAUAGGCAGCAAGAGAAAGCUUUUGUAGAUUCUUGAAACAAAAGAUGCAAGCUGAACAGAACCGCUGAACUGAACAACGAAUUCUCUACUACUUCAACCACCCCAGGUUUUCAUUUUCACAAAAACAAAUUAAUUAAAAACACGCCCCUAUUAAUGAAAGACCACUCUCUACAGAAAUAAUUCCAUAUCAUAAAUAUUUUUAUGAUGAAAAUCCAAGUCCUUGGAGACCAACCCACAUAUCUAUUGGCUAUUGCAUCAACAAACACCUUCAGAAGAAGACUCAAGGGUCAACUGCGGGAUGCUCAUUUUACAUAUAUUUCAUAACCACUUUAAUCUAGCUCAAUACUUCAAGCGGUCUUCCAAGAGGUAAUGGGAAUGAAAAACAUAUAACCUGGAUUCAACCCUCAAGAUAAACCUUCCAUUUCUCAAACAUCUCCCCCUCGAUCCACGGCUCAAAAUAUCAAUUUCCUAACCAAUCAAACUGCUCUUCUUUACCUCUACUACCUGCUUUCGAGUUGUACUCGACACACUACUGAAACAAAAAUGCAGUAUAUACUUUGAAUUCAUGAUCACCUGUAGUUUUGCUAAUCGAGAUUGCAUAGAGCUCACGAAUUGGCAAUGCGGUUCCAUUACAUCAGCGAUAUAAUCCUCAUCAGUGCCCAAAACUGUUUCUGCUUCAGGAGAUGAAGUGUAUUCUCUCUGGUUAAAGUUCAAACUAUCAGAGAUACAAAAAAUGCACGAUAUAUAUAUUCUAGAGGUACAGUUUGUGCGUAUGUUAUCAAUGUCUGGCUUCAGAUUGAUUGCCUUUACUUGUAUGGAGGGGGAGAGAGACAUACCGUGUCAGGGUCACGGAGUUUCUAAAUGAGACACAAACAUAACAUUCCUUUGCAUGUUCAAAAACCAUGGUGAACUAUAUCUCUACAACUAUAAGGUAGGUCUAGGAGUAUCGUUUUCUGUAGUCAGGUUGUGGUCAUAAUAGUAGCAUAGGUAAAGCAUAUACGAAGCUUGUCUUUUCUUUUUCAGUUUCAUUUUGAGUAUGCAUGCAAGAGAUCUCUUUUGAACAAAUGUUGUUGGGCAUAGACGAAUACCACUACGGUGCCAUAUGAAAUAGAAAAACAAAGUAGUAAACCAUACUCUAUUACGAGGGAGAACAACCGUGGACGCUCGCCCAGGUGAAAUAUCAGAUAUAUGGCCCUGAUAAUUUGAUCUUCCUUUUUUCCCCAUAUUAAGCACAAGUGGGCGCAUUCUUCCUACACAUGUCAUAUGCAUAAGAAAGUAAAUACUUAUUUUCCUUCUCCAGUAAUAUCAACAAUCGCGAACACAUGAAUAAAAUUAAGGCAUACCUCCUUUUUGGCUUUCAUUUGGAGGUAAAUCCCUAAUUAAUUUAUGGCCACGAUUCUCAUCUGCAAAAAGCCAAAUACAGCACACAAGCCAAUUAUUCCACGUACAAGUGCAAAUAAUCUUACCCUGAGUAGCCAGAUGAGCAUUUAUACCUGAAACUUAGGAACCGCUAGCCAAUAAUAUACUUUUCCAAUGGAUCAAUAAAACACUAUAAUGCGGAAGUUUGUGGAACUUACAAGUUUCGUCAGGAUAGGUUGUAGGUACAUCUGCCAGGAAACUUGAUUCUUGUGUUCUUGAUGCAAUCAAUCUCCCAUCCUUCAUACUUCUUUCAGCAGCCAGAACUCCAUGAAUUGAGCGCUUAGCUGUAGGAAAAAGUGGUCUAUCUACCAUAUUUGUUCCCAAAGGACCAGGCUGGGCAGAGAUAGUUGGCUGGUCUAUGUCAUCACUACUAAUUGGGAACCUUCGAAAAUCAGUUGUCUUUGACUGCACCGGAAAUGGCAUUGAUCUUCCGCUGAUACUAGCCUCCUUUCUCGAAUCAGAGCUAUGUUCCGACCUUGCACUAGUUCUAGGCACAAUAACAGGUAUGACUUCUGCCUUACUAAGGACUGGACUACUCACAGCUGGAUUCACUUUCAUAUAAUUCUUCUUUGUGACUGCAGUACUUGGAAAUGUUGUGGAAUUGGUCAAUGCUUUCACGCCAGUGUUUAAGCUGACCUUUUGAGGAGUACCAGGUACACUUCCCACGGCUUCAAACAGAACCAACAAAAAAUUAGGAAGAAUGGUACUCGAUGGAAAGAAUAUAAAUGGAAGAAAAGAAGGACCAUUUUUACUUGAGUUUGAAUUAAGAACACUUCUUAAGAAAUCGUGAAAAGAAUAUUAAGAGUGACGUACGUGCUAAGAUCUUUGACUCCUUUGGUAAAUCUUUAGAGCUAUCAGAAUUUGAAGAGACAGACAAUCUACCAAGCGACUUGGUCUCAUUUACUAAUGAGUCUGCAACUUGAGAAACCGUUAUCCUCCCCAAACUUGAUUUUGCAUUUUUCUCAGUCAAUGAUGAUUGAUUCCCUGCUGCAUUAGCUUUAGUUUCCACGUGACUACUGAACCUCUGAGAAUUUCCAAUUGCAUAUGGUUCUAUGCGCUGUCAAUACACACAACAGUGAGAGAUGCUAAGAUUUAAGCCCGUAUCUAAAACAAUCAAGAACCAUAGACUGGCUAAAAUAUUUUUUCAUACCGAGGUGUCCACUACCCAUACUCCUACACAGCUUUGAUUAUAAGAACACCCAAGGAGUUUUCCCUCAUUGACAUGCAGAUCUGACAAUUUGGACCAUCCCACAUCAACAGCAUCGUGACAUCUAAUUGGUUCCCAAGAGAAAACCUACAUAUAAACAAAAGGAAGCUGAUGGUCAAGGAGUAUUAACUGAAUAUCAUAAUAAACCCCAACAGACAAAUUGCAAAAGAUCUAACCUUCAGACUUUCAUGAAAACCACAGAGGAUGUUCCUACCAUCAGGAUUAAAGGUCAAACAACGUACUCCAGAUGCCUAAGUAAAACAGGAAGUCCAAAAAAGCAUUUGUAAAGGCUAUACAGGACCUCUUUUGAUACAGAGAAAAUGGCUUUGGAUAUAAAAUUACCUCUGGAUUAGUAGAACCGAUUAAUUCAAAGGUUUCCAGAUCAAAAAAUUUAACAGUUUUAUCAGCAGAUCCUGACGAAGGGAAGAAAGAGAAAGAGUCAAAGAAAGCAACAAACUUCAUUAACAAUGAAUAGAUUUGUCACUCGUACUGAUUAAGAUAUGGAGUUCAUCAGUUAAUUCUUUUGGCCAACUGCCUAUCUGCAUGUAUAUUUUCAAAUCAAAAUUACUUACUCCGUCAGAUUUAUCUUCCAAAUGACUCAAAAGUCAAAAGUAAUGAGAUAGCAUAUACAACGGCCAACUGACAUUCUGGUUAAGAUAUACAUCUAACAAUUGUGACUUUAUCGAAACUAUUGAAAUAGUUUCAAUGAGACAUUAAGAUUGGCACUAAAGAAGUGCACCCUCGAGAGAUAUAUGUAAUUCAUUAUGUCCGUACAGGAACUAUUCAAAUAGUUUCAAUUCAAUCAGACAAUAAAAAAGGCACUAAAGAAACACCCUCAAAUGAACUCUGAAAUAAAAUCAAAAUUGACAAGGCAGCAAAGCUGGCAACAAAAGAAAAACUAACCUGUCGCCAAAAGGAACUCGUGGGGAUGGAAAUCUAUGCAUUGAAUUUGGCCCUCAUGACACUUGAAAUCAUGCAAUAGCUUGCCGGCAGUCAGAUCCCACAGCUGUUUGGAUAACAGGAUUUGCUAAGUAAAUAAAUUAAGUAUGUACAUGUAAAAUGUAAAUAUAUGUUUCUCUAUUCAGCUCAAUAUAAAUUGCAUAUAGUUUGAGUCUAUCAAUACUGUUAAACAGAGUUCACUAGAGAUGGUGCUCUGCAGACGGUUAUUUAUCAAAAUGCAGAGCCUGACGCCAGAUCCAGGACAAAAUAUCCAAGUCAUUGAAACAAUAGCAUUUCCUCUGACUAACAACCUCUUACUCUGAAAUUUGUCUCAUAUUUCAAUAGCAUAACUAGACAACUAAAGAACAGUCAAAGAAUACAUGCAGAUAUCACAGUAAGAUAGAAAGCAAGAAGCAAGGUUUACCAUUGACCGCUCGGGAAAUAGUUCUACCACAUACGCAAUAUGCCGGAGAAAAUAAAACUACAUAUAAAGCCCCUGAGCGUAAUAUAAACAGGAGAUAGUAAUGCAAUAACAACCUUGACAGUGUUGUCCUCUCCACCGGAUACAACCCAACGACCAUCUGGAGUAAAUCUAAUGGCAUUGACUCCUCUAGUGUGGCCCUUGUAAGUGUGGAUACAGCCCUUCUUUCUGAUGUCCCAUAUCUUCAGAUUAGUAUCCAAGGAACCAGAUGCAAAGAACUCUCCGAAAGGGUGAAAGUCCACAGAAAUACAGUUGGAUCUAUGGCCGGUGAGGGUACGGACAACUGGGAGGAGAAAUUAAAAAGAAAGAUGAAAAAUAUGAGUUAAUAGCGAAUGAAAGAACCAAAGAGACUGUAAAGACAACAAACAGCAGCAGUCAUAUUCAUGUCCAAUCUAAACAUACUCUUGGCCUCCUCUAAAUCCCAAAGUUUGAUGGUACCACUGGCAGCACCUGCGGCUACUAAGACUUCAGAAGAAUCAAAACCAACCGAAUCAAUUCCACUUGUAUGUCCUGACAGACUCUGCACAGCGCAUGGAAGAUAAAGUAUAAGUUGAGAAGUCAACAAGGUAAAAAAGAGUCGUUACAAUAUGAUGGAGAAAGGAAAACGGAGGCAAAGCUCACCAAUAAGGCAUUGGGUUUGCCAAUGGACCACAGAUUAACCUUGUGAUCUUCACCACCAGUGACAAGAAGCCUAGAGGAUUUCCUCCCAAUCUUUAGACAAUUAACAGCAGAAGAAUGUGCUACAAAUUCCUCUAGAAAAGAAAAACUGGUCAAGGAGAAGACAGACCUCGUGUGUAAAGACGAACAUAAAUAAAAAAAAGGGUGAGAAGUAAAGUAAAAGUGCAGAUCACAGGCAUGGAUGAAUUGAAGCAAGCAAAGGAAGGAUACGGAGCUUGUAUGCGCGUUUGGUAGUCAUGACUGCCGGUAGAAACUAAAAUUACAAACGAAACGGGGGAGGAGAGACAACAACUGCUUCUUCUUCUUCUUGCUAUUGUGGCUGUGGCAGAGAUCAUUUAUGAAGAAUGCGACUGCGAUUCAUCCAGUCUGAAAUCAGAUCUCGACAACUGGAAGUCGUAUCAGGUACUGCCGCCACCACCGCCGCCGUAUAUCAUUCAACCAGUAGGUAAGGUACGGAACUAUAUCACGAGAAAUUGAAGAGAGCGGGGUGAAGGUAAAUAAAAUAGUAGCGUGAGAUCAGACAGUAGAGUAAUACAAAAAUGCAAAGAGAAAGAAGGAGCGAAAGACCUAGCUAGCUAGCUAGGUGACAAAUACAAGGGAGUAAAGAGAAGUUGGAGAAGGAAAAGGCAUUGAGAGACGAAGCAGGUGAAAUGUUGCUAUUGGAAGAGCUACCUGCCUGCUUGCGUGCCUGCUACCGGCUUCAGCUUCUACCUCAACCCUUACCAACUGAUUUCGUCGGUUAAUCGUUACGUUUUUGCCUCCAUCUCCAGUUCUCCUCCUUCCUUGCGUGUAACUCGGAAAGUAAAAACGAUGAAUAGAUUAAAGAAGAAAAGCUUUUUUACGGGAGAAGAGCUAAUAAAGAUGUGGGAGGUGGAUUCAAUUUUGAAAUCAUGGAAUGGUGCCAGCCAAGGUGGGAGACCGAGAAGGAGCUAACGGUUGUUGCAAACAAGAAGAUGGAUCAUUUGUAAAUCCUAGAGAUUCAAAUAAGCAGAUGGUCAAGCCCGGAGAACACGCUUGGGCCCUUAUUCACGAGUCCUUUCGAGUAUGCGGCAGACUGGACCACGAGAAUAAUAGGAAACAAGAUCUUCAAACUAUACCAUUGCAUUGUGGCCCCUGUAAGCUGAAGACUAUAUGCAAGAUCUCAAUCAUUCUCAAUGACAUCCCUGGCGAAUCGAAGUGAAAAUCCAGCCAUGACGGUGCUUGAUGCAUUUCUGUCUACCAAGGUUCCCACCCCCAUGGCACACAAUAAAUUAUGGACUCGCAGGACAAAUCUCUCAUCUUUCAUUCUCUUUUCCUUUGCUGGCAUGCAUCCUGUUCUUGGAUUCACGUUCGUUAGGGACUUCCUAAGUUGGUCUAACACCCUACAAUCUCCUAACAUCCCAAUUUCACCCUUAGAGAAAGCUCGCAAUGAAAACAUGCAUAGAGGAAUCUCCCCGACAGUUUUGACUACUCCCACCCUCAUUGCUAAUGGCAUUAGUGAUUAGAAGGCGAGUAAGCUUCAUCCACCCUAUCGCCCACAACCAUGGCAUCCCCAUAUGUGCGAUCGUUUCCCGCCAAAGGCUAUCCAUCAGGUUAUCCACUGCGACGGCUCAUUCUCAAGUGAGACACAAAAGGCGGCAUUUCGCAUCGUGGUUUCCAAUGCAAAUGUACAAGUGACCGAAAGGAGGGCCGAUCAGGUUGUCUAUCGCCAUACAUACUAGGUAUGUUAUUUGUAAUCGCAAGCUUGGCAUAAUGAGAAGAGAAAAAUAGUAUCUUUAAUACCAACAAUUUCUACCAUCUACCAUAUUUUUACGCUACCUACAGAACUAAUCUUUUCUUGAUGAUUUACACUACCAGCUAGCUAGUCAGCACACAUACUAAAACAUUAUAUACACGUAUGUGCUUGUGCAUAAUAUGCUGCCGCACCUCUGCACGUGCCGAUACCAAAAACGCCAUUCAGGCAACCACAAUACUGUCAUCAACUUAACAUCUCUGCACAAAACAGCCCCCCGAUUUCAAUUCGAUCCAUUUUAUCCUCCAUAUAUAUAUAUAUAUAUACCGUGUAGCUGUCCCCCCACUUUGGUCUUCACCAAAAGCUGACGAAACCAUUUUCCUCUUCUCAUCCUGCAAAUUCAGACAAACCACAGACACAGCAGAUUAGAGAACAUUAUGUUCAUCUAAUCACUCACAAAACAGAACACAUGACCAAGAACACAAGCUGAAGUCUGAUCUUUUGAUCAGAUUUGACAACCACGUGCCACUGAACUGCAAGCUAUCCUAAAAUAACAUAGAAGAAUAAUGGCAAUAUAUGAUUAGAACCUGCAAAGCUAGUAUCCUAUCCUCCACAGUGUCUGCAAUGGUGAGCCGGGUUACAGUAACUGGCCGAGUCUGUCCGAUUCUAUGUGCUCUGUCAACUGCCUGAUCUUCUGUGCUUGGAUUCCACCAAAGAUCCAGAAGGAUAACGUGACAUGCAGCAACCAUAUUCAAACCAAGAUUUCCUGCCUUGAGUGACAUCAGCAUUACCGUUACCUGAAACAAAUAUCAUAAACUCAGUGGCCACAGCAGACUAACUGAAUUCUCAAGUGGGAUUUUCUAAAAUGACAAAAGAACUAACCUCGGGAUUUGUAUUGAAAUCUUUGACAGCCUUGUCUCUCACAUUUAAACUCAUUGUGCCAUCAAGUCUCCUAUACGCUAGGCCAGUCUCUUUCAGCGAGCGCUCAACCAAGUCCAACAUGCCAGUCCAUUGUGAAAAAAUUAUCGAUUUUAUAGGUCCCUUAGGAACAGAGCUCACAACUGUGCAAUCUACGUCAUCAGGUUCACUCAUGUCACUAUGUGAGAAAAGAAUCUCAAGAAUAGCUCUGAUUUUUGAAGAGCUAUACUCACUCUCCAUUAUCUCAUCAAAGUUGGAUCGAGAACGACCUGCAUCACCAUUGUUAGACAUGCAACUUCUCAACGUAGCUUCCGAGAAGACAAUAUCAGCACCAAGCUGUUCUUUGCAAUCAGCACCAGGGCAGGUGUUAUCAUCCCCUGCCAAGUAAUUUGACACACACUGAUAACAGAAAACAUGACCACACAUUGUAACAACAGGGUCCUCGGGCAGAUCCUGCAGAAUGAACAUUACUUUAGAUAAUAGCAUGGAAUUUCACUAGUUUGCACCCAUCCAAAAAGUGGACAUGUGAAGGACUCGGGAUGAACUCAUCAAAAAAAAAUCCAUGAAAACGAACUACAUCAGUGAUCAGAAAACAAUGACAUUGAACAAAUGCUGAGCAGUGAAUUGAGGAAUGGCACCUCAGGCUCAACUGAAGAGAUGAGGCAAAAAAGCUUAGGAAAUACUUACAUUGCAUACACGGCAAAUAGUCAGAGAAGUAGUCAGUCUACUUAAGAGAUCCAUCACCAUUUCCUUUGGAAGUUUAUUUGCCAUAUCCACUGAUACUUUUUGUACAGAGUCGGAAUUGAAACCUUUGACAAGAAGUGGGUGGUCACAAGCCUGCCGAAGGCGCAAAAGCAUCAAAAGAAUAUUUGCAUAGUUUUGAUUUACAGUGCCAGCAGCAGCAUAAGCCUACAAAAAAGACCAGAUAACGUAACAAUUAAUUACAAACUUACUGUAAGAUCACCAAAAUUCAAGAAAGAAUCCCCUCGCUGGUAUUGUCUAUUAAAAUAUUAUACCGUUUUUACUUUUUAGACAGGUACUCAACUGCUCAGCCAAGUAAACAGCAAAAGGAAGAAAACCGGCCUCAUAAUUAAUUCAAAAUAUUACUUAAAAAAAAAGAAUCUUUAGGAUUCAGGAAUGAAGAAAUAUAGAAAUUCGAGUAGAAAAAAGAAAACAGAGAGUGACAAAUAACAUUUGAAUCAAGGGGGGAGAGCAAAGAAUGGGUUAGGUCUCGAUUGCUUUCAUGCAUAAAUCUAACUUGUCUAAUAUUAGUUCAGUGUCAUGUUCUAGGUCUAACAUAAGUAGAACCAACUUUCUAAUUGAUGCCCUCCUACGAAGAGAAGGGCAACUAAGGUAGAAAGAACCUUGAACUUAGAACGCGAAUCAGCUUCUAGCUGGGUGUAGAAAGCCCGCUCCUCGAUCGAGAACUCCACCUUCCUCAAACAUAUUGAUUUCGAAGGCAAUCUGAUUAUAGGCUCCCCAUUUAUCAAUGUCCCUACAGCAAAAGACCUGGUCAGCUCCAACUUUUAGUUGCAAAGCAGUGCAGCUUAUGUUAAGUAAGAGACAGCAAGACAUCAAGCAUAUGACCUUUACUUCAUCAAAAACAACUGAAAUACGAUGGACACUGGCAAAAUUGAGGGGCAAUAAAAAAAUAAAAGACAGGCAUUCGUUCAAAUGUUUGUCAUGUACUAUUGUCCAUGACAUUUUGUUGAUCUAGUUCUAUUACAAAUUUAUCAUACUUCUAAGUAUAUAAAAGAUCAUCUUAAAAGACCAAACAUCAUAACCAAUACAGAUCAGAGGCUCUAUUCAGCAAAAUUCAUGUUAAUGUAACAUGUCGAAUUCUUGAAGGGGCACUGCAUAGGGAUUGCCCAAGGAAAUCAGAUAUGCAUAAAAUGCAUGAGCAAAAACAUCACAUUAACAAUGAUGAUGUGUAUCCAAGCAAAAGUAUAAAACAUUUCAGUUGUGUUUAUGCAGCAAGACGGGCAGGAAUAGGAUGCUCCUAAAGCCCUUUUCAAGCAGUGUUGACACCAGUAUCACACUACAAUUGCAAAAUAUAGAAGAGGAUGAGAAUAAAGAAUGAGUUAUAACUGUCUCAUUUUUCGUUGGAUAAAAUAGCCAUCAGAUCCCCAUAGGUUCUACGACAGUCCUUGCCAAUUAAAAUGACUCAAGCUUUUAACAAGUGCCCCCGGAUUUGGUAUGAUUAAUUGCAGGGCUAUGAAUUUCCAAUGUAAACUCUGAUAAUUAUCAACAUUAUAUGUUCAGCAAUUCAUUAAGAAAGUAUUAGUGCAAGUAAUAGGGGUAAAAACAGAAUCCAACCCAAUAUAGAACUCCCAGUUUAGGCAGCAUGGAUCACGACAAUCAUGAAAUGUACUAAAAACUAAAGAAGAAGAUGUAUAACAAUCACCAUAACAGUAGCAAAUCAAAAGAAAAACCUUUAGUACGGCGCAGCAUUACUGCGGCUAAAACUGCUCUCAGCUUCUUGUAGCCAUGAAGUGAAUUUCUAGAUAUUGGGAGCUUUAUGGCACUGCAAAAUGAUUUGUACCCCGAGUACGGUUCAUAUCUGAGAAAUCUGAAAUAGCUGUACAAAUCAUCAAUAGAAUUCUGUAUAGGCGUUCCAGAUAGGCACCAUCUCCUUUUAGCACGAAGGCUACAGCAAGCCCUGGCCACUUGGGUUCGAUGAUUUUUUAUUGUUUGAGCUUCAUCUAGAAUCACCCUACACCAACCCACCCUUGCAAGUGGACUGCAAUCAUAAUCAAGAGAAGAGAAAUCUGAUCCCUUUGUGCCCAUCUUCCUCUUCUUGCUGGUACCAAGCAGUUUUUUCCCCUUCUUAUCAACUGAAAAUGCAGAAGACAGACCACUUUUUUCUGCAGUUUUGUCAUCAAGUUCAUCAUCAUCAACCAAAGGUUGCUUGGGAAGUUCAUUAGUAACUAUGGCGUAUGUCGUCAUAACGACAUCAAACUUUGCCAAUUCAACAGGAUCUUUUGUUCUAGUACCUCCGUGGUAUAUCAAGACGGACAGUUUAGACUUUUCCGCAACUUUAUCAUCCAACUCCCUAGCCCACUGGCGGAGAACACUUGCUGGGCACACAACCAAUGUACCAGCAGCAGGUCUCCUUCUAAUCAGUGCCUGUGAAGUAUUUACUUGUUCAGUUAUUACGGUAUCCUUAAUUUCAGCUGACUGUUUCAUUUUAUCUGAGGCAACAGUGCUGCAAUCAUCAUCGUCAUCCAAAUUCAGUGCUUCAGUAUUUCGUGCAUUUUGAUCUUCUGACUUAGAUUUCAACUCCAAAUACUUCUGCAUCUGUACAAGGGCAAUCAUUGAUAUGGUUUUCCCAAGACCCUGAGAAAUUAAAGCAGGACAAAUUCAAGCGGUUUGUGCAAGAUAAAUCAUAAUAAUGCACGAGUAAAGCAUAAGUAAAAUUGUUAAACAUUCAGGAGAACAACCUGAUCAUCAGCUAAAAUUCCACCUAAACAGUGUAAGCUUCUCGUCUCCUUCUGAAGCAUCCACGCCAAUGCAAUUUUCUGUCAAAACAGAUUAUAUAAGAAACUCAACGCAAACAUUGAAGAGCACUUUAGUAAUGUCAAAAGGUGGAACCUGGUGUUUCAGAAGUGGCACAGAUAAUAAACCUUCAGGUAAGUUGGCUUCCAUCUUUGGUUGAUUAAUACCCUGAGGGAAAAAAAUGGGCUCAUCUAAUUAGAAUUCUGUGUAGUCAUGCAGAACUUGAGGUAUUUUUCAUUCCUCAGAGAUGGUUUAGGGUAGAGUACAGCAAACCACUUUUACCAUUUGACUUAUGCUGACAAGCAAUUAGAAAGGAUUAAAAAAUGUUUUCCCAUGACAUUUAACUGUGUAUUUCAGUAUUACAAGAGUCAAAUGCGAAUAAUAACAUGUAACUCAAUCUUUCUCUGCUGCAUGAAGUCCAUACACUAUUUCUAUGCGCCAGCUUGGACAAACGCAGAACUCAGUUAAAGAGAGCUAUCUCGUUAUCUCAACAAGAGAUAGAUCAAACUCUAGUGAAAUGCUCUAUAUCAGUAAAUUCCUUCCUAUUUUCCACAAUCUGAAUUCUCUAAGCUGACUAAUUGUGAUUGCAAGACAGUGUAGCAAUGACCUUUCUAGCACGUGUUAGCAUGGGUAUCAAGAAAUAGAUAAAAAAGAUAAAGAAACGCAGAGUAUCAACCCCAUCAUGAUAACUUGAUAUAUGACGACAGUUCCCUAUGAAAUGACAUCACAACAGCUACAUGGAAGGAAUACCUGUAGUGCUGCUUGAUAGAUUAACCUCUCAUCACAUUCAGCAGUUCUUUCAUCACCUACCAUGGAAGCGUAUCCAUGGUCACUUGAACCAGCCAAAUGUGCAGGCAAGGUAGACUUAACAUGCGUCCAUGACUGAGGAAGAGCCCUGCCGACAUUUUUAUCAUAUAUCAUAACGUCUUCAUUACCAACAUGGCUGUAGCGGCCGUGAGGGUAGUCCUGGCUACUGCCUGCUAUUGAGGGAUUGUAGCCAUUGCGAUGAACACCAUGUGUCUGGCUGCUAGCUGCAUUAUCAGCUAACCUGUUCAUUUUGUAACUUGGCGCAGCUCCAUCUAGAGACAUUGGAAGGGUCCGCUUCAAAGCUUGCUCGCCACUAGAAACAUUAGCAAUCCUAGAGUUACCAGCUCUCAGGUUACCAGGUUUACCAUUUUGUCUGACGGCCCCUGAAAGUUCAAAUAAUUCUCAAAUAAGGAUUCAAAGAUCACCAACCAGGUGAGAGAUUCGCCGUCUUUGCCUCGAUGAAUCAAUAAAUAAAAGCAAUUAUGUGUAAGCGUCAAUGAAAGAAGAGCAAAGCGAUAAGGGUAAUAAAAAGGACAAGUGAAAGCAUAUAUAAUCUGGCCUUAGAGAUUCACUACCGUCCAAGUCAUCGUCAUCAUCAUCCAGCCCCAGAUCACUAUCAGAACUGAUAUCUAUAGGCUGCUUUGCUGCCAUUGCAAUCAGACAGGGAAUGCCCCUUGCUUCAACCAGAUCACGAUUUCUUACCUCAGAGAGGUUAUUAAGAGGAUGGCCAAGAGGUGAAAGUCCCUGCAAUUGAAAAAUGAUAAAGAAAUCUUCAUGCAAACCAGAAACUCAAAAAGGAACUACUUAGCAUACUCAUGUACACGUGACUUGCUAAAUGGUGCUAGUAUUUCAUGGAAAUAUGCUAGAGAUCCUAUCUAUUAGAAUGGAACAACAACUGGAGGCAACAAAAUGGUGACACUGGCUAAGAGGAACCAAAGUGUUAACCGACGCCGCAUCAAAAGAGUACUCAUACAGAAAGUAACACAUUUAACUUGAAUCUCCAAGUAGAAUUCUACUCCAAAAUAAAAAUAAUAAAAAUCAACCAAAUCUUAGACAUUCAUAAUUCAGAUACUUCGAGGAAGAAGGAAAUGGGAUCCGUUAAAUAUUUGUAAGACAAAGAUGAGCAAGUGGCUUAAUUGGUAUCUGAUUAUCCAAACCCUAAAUAUAGUAAGCCGGACACAUCAAGAAAGAAAAGGAUACUCAAACAUGCAAGACACUAGGGAAAGACGGCAAUACGAGAAACCUAAAACCCAAUGACAGAGGAGGCACUAAGAACAGAAGGGAAAAAACGAGAGAGAGAACGGCGAAUAAACCUUCAGUUAGGAAAAUAUACCAUGAAAAGAGAACUAAUCAGCAGAAAACACUGAGGCAGGCGGAGCAAAGGACAGCAUUUUCACAGGAAUUCCACAAUCAAGGAGAAAUAGCAGAAAAGUGACAGAAACGAUGACGAAGAAAUGAACCCUCCCAGCGAUGGCAUUCAUCUGUUUGAAGUUGAAGCGAGAAAGGAAAGCCAAUGAAAACAGUACCUAACGGCCUUCAUAUAAAUUCCCAGGUCAGAAGUCAGAACUUGCAACUGCUGAUGUGGUGCACUUGGAAAGAAGUUAGGGUUUCAAAAGUUUUAAGUGAAACAGCGAGCAACACAUACACUUGCGUGUGAUUUUUUUUUCCACAGCGAUCGUCUCUACCAGGAACGAGAAUGAGACUCUGCAACGCGAGAAACGACUAGCGAUUUACAGCGAUGGAAACGACUAGCGAUUUACAGCGACGGAAACGACAUAGUUAUCGCCUGGUGCGAAUACUUUACACUUCACACUAUUGCCAGCUCGGCCAUGCCAUAGCAACCCGUUCGAUAGGCUUUGCAAUCCCGAUUAUUUAACCUCUUAAUAGAUUAUAAUCUCAUCGAAUUUGACGGUUAUUAAUCGUAUUAAUUAGAUAUUUUGAGAUUACGGUUAUAAUCGUUAGGAACGGAUAAGGUUAGAUUAUGAGUUUUGUAGUAACCGCACCAUCACCGUAACGAUACACAUUAUAUAAUCAACAUUUAAGUCCACUAGAUAACCUAAAUGUACAUAAAAUUUAUCGAGAAAACUAAAUCUAAUCCAUUUACUCAUUCAUUCAUACAAAAUAUCUCAUUUGUCCGUCUUUCGAAAUCGACAAUAUCUCUUCAUCUCCUCAUUUUCUAUAAAACUUAAUCAUUAUUUUUCGAUUGAAAAUAUCUCAUCCACCACUUUAGAGAUGAAUUAAAGUAGAUGCAUUUUGAUUUUACUUUAUUUUUAUUUUUUCAUAACUUAGAGUAGUUAUAACCGUUAACCGCAUGGGUAUGAUGAUGGAAUUAAUUUUGUCACCGACACAAAAGCGGAUGGAUAAUGUUUAUGCCAUAACCAUCCCCAAACCUCCCCGUUGCCAAGCCUACCGUUUGAGGUAUUUGAGUGAGGUAUUUUGGCCGAAAUAACUCAUUUUGUGUUAUUUCGACGAAAAUACUUCGUUUGGCAUCAAACAAACAAUCCGUGGUAUUCCAGACUAUGGUAUUUCAAAUAACUCACUUUCGAAUUAUUUCAAAUAUCUCAUCAAAAUGACUCGUUUGGCAACCAAAACAAAAUACGUGAUAUUUCGAGAUGUGGUAUUUGAAAUUACUUAUUUUUGAGUUAUUUAACGAGUUAUUCAAAUACCUCCCCACCACCCACCUAAGUUUUUGAAAUACCUCACUAUUUUGAGAAUGUGAUAUUUCCGUUACCAAAUACCUCAUUGAAUAACUCAUUAGCCAAACAAGAUAAUUCUCACACCACAAUUCCUUUGCACCUUAUACAUACUACAUUUUCAAAUAACAUAUAAUUUUAUUCCAAAAUACUACAUAUCCAAAAUAUUUCAUCCAAACUUCCCGAAUUAUUAUCCACAUGAAUCGCGGUCAUCAUUUUUUGUGUAAGUAUAAUGUUUAUCAUCGACAAUAAUAACCAAUCCUUUCAAUACGAAUGCUCAUAUAAAACGAUAAACAACCGACAAAAAAUAUAUUUUAUUCCCAUGGACAAACAUCAAAUUUCUAACCUCAUGUAUAAAAUGAGACACCACAAUGUUACAAUCCUGUGGUCAUCAUCAUGCUAGGUAAUGUAACAUAUUUUGAUUUGGGCUUCAAUUUUGGGCCUUUCACAUUUGAUCACAAUGAAAAAUUGGGCCUCGCACUUUGCUUUCCCUCCUAAAAGCAGCAGGAGUUGGCGCGCAGCGGAAAGCGCCAAGACUGCAAAAAUUACAAAAAUUGAAAGCUUUUCAAUCUCCCUCAUUUCCUGGUUUGCCUACCGCCAAAAUGAAAUUAAUCAAAUUAAAACAGCAACAAGGCUUCCUUUUAACUCACCCGCAGGAGUUUUCUCUCAAAGGAAUUUGAAGUCGGGGCUUUAAUCUCUCUCUCUCUCUCUCUCUCUCUCUCUCUCUCUCUCUCUCUCUCUCUCUCUCUCUCUCUCUCUCUCUCUCUCUCUCUCUCUCUCUCUCUCUCUCUCUCUCUCUCUCUCUCUCUCUCUCUCUCUCUCUCUCUCUCUCUCUCUCUCUCUCUCUCUCUCUCUCUCUCUCUCUCUCUCUCUCUCUCUCUCUCUCUCUCUCUCUCUCUCUCUCUCUCUCUCUCUCUCUCUCUCUCUCUCUCUCUCUUAGUAAGCUUGCUUUUCCCUAGCUCUCUUCUCCGUCGAUCUAGGUCAAGAUGGCUGGAGGUGGUGCCAGGAAGGCCAACCCAACAAAGGCGAGAAAGAGAGUGGAGGCGGAAAGUAGUGCUUCUGCUGCUUCCUUGGUUCGUGCCAGAGACGGAAGCGCAUUUGCUCGCUGGUAAUACAUUUUUCUCUCGGUUCCCUUUUUCUUCUCUUGGUUGUCUCGCUAUUUUGUUGAUGGACUGACUACCGCAUAUAUGGUGUUCGUGGAAAUUCCUCAGCGAAGAGUGCAACAAGGACGUGCCAGCGGCUCUAAUCAGUUUCCACAACUGCAGCCUCGACGCCAAAAUCAAGAUGAACCUCGGUCAGUUUCCCAGUUCUGCAAAUGCAUUUUAAUUAUCUUUCUCGUUUUGGCUAGAAUUUACAUAAUCAGUGUGAUGUGUUGGUUGUUUUAGAGGCUCAAGUCGUGGAGAACCCCACUGAGGUUAAGAAGACUAAGAAGAAAGCAUCUGAAAAGUAAUUUUGUUUUCCUGUUUUUUCCCCUUGCCGUGGUGAUUUGAGUUUUUGUACCGUCUUUUAAGGUUUUUGAACUUUGAAUCCAUGGACAGAAACAGUGAAGAAUCGGGAGAACCGAAGCCAAAAAGAUCCAAGAAAGAGAAGGAGGCUGCCAAAGAUCCGAAUAAGCCCAAACGCCCUCCCACCGCCUUCUUUAUCUUCAUGUCAGUGUUUGUAUUCCAUUUGUGUCCCUUCCUGUUCUAUCCUAGGCAGAACCAAGUUAAUAGUAUACUCGUGCUCAACAGGGCUGACUUUAGGAAAGAAUACAAGGAGGCAAAUCCCGACUGUAAGGAGGCUAAGAAGGUUGACUGCAAACCAUACGAUUUCGUUUCUAUAUGGGUUGUAGAUUCCAUUCUUUCUAAUGCAAAUUUUGUUGGUCUCUCAUUAUUUAGGUAGCCAAGGAUGCUGGUGAGAAAUGGUCAUCCAUGACUGAAGACGUGAGUUAAAUUUUACUGUCAUCUCCAGGAUUAUAUAAUUUCUGAUUAGUAUACGCAUGCAACACUCAUCAUGUUCUUCUAAUCUAAACUUGUUGUAGGAGAAGAAACCGUACAUAGAAAGGGCUGCUCAACUCAAGGCUGAUUUUGCGAAGGGUUCUGGUAGCAGCGAUGGUGAAAACAAAGAAACUAAUAUUGGGGAUGACAAUGUAAGGAUUCUUUCACUCUUAUCCUUUUCUAUCACAAAUACGCACAAAAUGGCAGCAACGUUAUUUGAAAGUGUUUGUCGAGAAUAUGUAUUGACAAAAUGCUGUUUCUAAUUAUCCAGAAUGCUGAUGAAUCAAACAAGGAAGAAGCUGAUGAAUCAGACAAGGAGGAUGCUGACGAAUCAAAUAAGGAGGAUGCUGAUGAGUCCAACAAAGAAGAUGUUGAGGAUUCAAAGAAGGAAGAUCCCGAGGCUGAAUCAGAAGACGCAUCCGGUCUGGAGUAGCAUGUUUCUUGUGAAAUGCUUAGCACUGCCAUUGUAUAUGAUAUCUAGUUCUCUAAGCUUGUGUCGUUAGAGUAAGGUGGUUGGUUCAUGGAUCCUUUUGCGGUUGUUGACACUGCUUCAGUAAGUAGAUUUUGCGAUCAUCACUAGUUUCCUUUUGUAGUAAGUUUCCACCAGAACCAGUUGAAUGAUAUUUUCUAACCUUGAUUUUGCGUAUGAACAAUCAUGGGAUGAAGUGACUUGUCUAGUUAGUAUGACGUGCAGCAAUUAAACGGAAAAUGAUAGAUUAACUGAUUGAACUCAAUAUGGGUACCUGCUCUCUUGUCUGGUAAAGCUUACUGUUUGUUAAAGACUGGUAGUCGCAGUCUUACACAGGAAAAAAAUAACAUACUGCAGAAACGGUGAACUAAAGGUUGUUCUUUUUUUCUGAUUGUCUAACAUCUUUCAUUUCCUACUAGUAUAUAUUGCUCUCUUGAGUCAGCAUGAUGGCUGGCUAAAAAAAAUAUCACUUCUUGGGCGGACAGGUCGGCAAGGGUUUACCACAGAGGCAUAGAUUGUGAGCAUAAGCACUUGCAGGGAAGGUGUUGUAAGGCCUUCCUUGAGGGAUCUCUCCACACAGUCUAUUCCCCCUGAAGUUUGCAUGCCUCACACUCUUCACAUUCAGCAAGCUACUUGGGAUUCCACCCGUCAGCAAAUUCCCCGAGAUGUCAAGCCAUUCCAGUUUUGACAGCAUCCCGAUGCUCAAAGGAAUCGAUCCCGUUACACGGUUCCUCCCUAUAUCCAGCCUCGCCAGCUGUUGCAGCUUCGAGAUCGAGACCGGUAUCCCUCCUGCAAUCUGGUUGCUUGCAGCGUUGAGGAUCUUCAGGAACCUGCUGUUUAGUACAGCGGAAAGAGAGCCAGUGAUGUGGUUGGAUUGCAGGUGAAGAGAAGAGACCAUCUGCGGCAAUCUCAACUCCGAGAGGUCGAACCUGAGCUGGUUUCGCGACAGGUUUAUGUUCUCCAAGGUGGAUGCAUUGGCGAGAAAGCCGGGGGAGAUGCUGUCGAAGAAGUUGUCGGAUAGGUCUAAGGAAGUGAGAGAUUCUGGUCUGGUGAAUACUGGAAGCCGUCCCCUGAGUUUGCAUCCAGCUAGGCGGACAUCUGUAAGCUGUCUAUUUCUGAUCCAGUCUGGUACGGUCACCAUACUAAAGUUGUUAUAUGACAGGUCAACUGACAACAACAAAGGAAGCCCUGUAAUGGCAGGGAAUGGUCCAGAGAAGGCAUUUCUGGAAAUGUUAAGAUACCAUAGCUUCUGCAAGCUGGAAAUCGAAAGCGGGAUGGGACCAGUGAGUCGGUUGGAGCUCAACGAGAGACGAGCUAGCGAUUUAAGGCCUGUGAAGCUGACGGGGAGGCUUCCAGAGAGCUGGUUAUGGUCCAAGGAGAUGUCUUGGAGAAGGGAUGAUGAAGUAGUAAACAGAGAAGUGGGGAGCUGGUCGGAAAAGAGGUUAUAAGAGAGGUCAAGUGAAGUGAGGUUUGGGAAUGCGGAUGGGAGGUUGUUCGGAAUGGAUCCGGAAAUGAAAUUGUGGCUAAGAUCCAAAGACUGCAAGGGAAGAUGUGUUGUUGCUGGGACAUUGAUAAUACGGCCGGUGAAAGAAUUCCUGGCUAAACCGAGAAGCUGGAGUUUGGGGAGUGUGAAAAUGGGGAGAGGGAUGGGGCCCAGCAAGCGGUUACCAGCGAGGGAGAGGGACGUCAGACGGGAGAGACGGCUUAGAGAUGGAGGGAUGGAGCCUUGGAGGGAAGCAUCUUCGAUCACCAGAUUAGCGAGGCGAGGGAGGUCGGAGAUGGAUUGAGGGAUAAAGCCUGAAAUGUGUUUCAUACCAGUGAUGACCAGAGUCUCCAGAGAGGUGAGCUUGCCGAGUGAUGGCGAGAGAGUGCCUUUCAUGUAGGAAGUGACGUCGUCGGGCGGGGCUUGGAGAAUUAAAGAAGUGACCUUUCCGGUUGAUGGGUCGCAUUGGACGCCUUCCCAAUCGGAGAGGGUGGUGCCAACCCAGGAGGAGAGUGUGCCAGUUGUGUCCUGGAGAAUUGCUGCUUUGAACUGGAGAAGUGCCAGCCUGUGGGAUGAAGGUUGUUGAGCAGUGGGAUUGUUGUUGAGGAAGAAGAGGUAGAGGAUGAGGAAUGGCAAGAAGAGCUUCAUAUUUGAAAUAAUUGAGGGAGGGAGGGAGAAGUGGAUUCAAAUAAAUAAUGAAUGGGAUUUGAUGGAGAAAAAGGGUGUUUUGCUUUUACGCUACUCUUGGUGGGAUUGAAGGAGGUAGAUGAGGGAGGAGGAGGUUGGAGCGGACCGCACUUUCUCUCUUUCCAAUAAAUAAAGAUCAACGCCAAAUGCUACUGCCUGGUUCUUGCCUGUAAUAGUAAUAGUAACCAACCCACAACGAUACAUAGAGUUUGGUAGUGCAGAGAACUAAUAGAAUCCACACUCAACCAGUAGACAGUAGUAAUCAGUAUCCUGAACAAGUUGUAUCAAGUAGCAACUCUGAGUGUAGCAUAAUCUGCCCUUUCCUUCUUUCCUGCAUAUAACGGUUAGUAACAAAAAGUGGUUCUCUUUUCAACCCAAAAGUGCAACCCUGUAAGUCCAGAAGUUCUCCUUUCCUGCAUUCAUACGUCAGUAGUACCAAAAGAAAGACAUAUGCCUCAGUUCAGAACAGAUUGGUGCACUAACUUAAUUAUGAUGGAACUGAUCCUUGACAGGAAAAAAACUAAGGUAACCAGGCAGACUGCGCGCAUUGUACGUUUCUAUUCCUUUUCAGCUAUGACCACAAACACAUCCUUCACCGACCACCUCCUCCUCUCGCUCUUUGCUGUUGGAUUCAUAACAGCUCUUUCAGCAUUACAUAAACGGUAACCAAUCACGAUUUCUUUCCUCUGCCUAGCUCUCAACACUAUCUCAUAGAAGCUCAGUUCUUCUCCUUCCCUCAGGUAUAGAUCUGCUUCUCUUAUCUGCAGCUCAUUUCCCUGUCCACAACCCAAACUCCCAUCACAACCCUAACCUGUUUAUUAGUUAUUAUCACUACUGAAAAUAUUUUAAUAUUAGUACCUCCUCUGCAAACAGCUCUUCUAGUACGAAAUUGAUCUGCCGAUCCUCAGCAACCAUUGCCAGUGCCAUGCUCACUAGUUCAUUUGACAGCACGUAGUCGCUGAUCUUCGACAUGGAUAAUAGGUUCUUAGUCCUGGGGUCCAGAAUUUCACUGAUUAUCACUGAUUUAUCAGAAGCCUGUUGCAUCUCCCCUAUCCAGGAUCCUUGUGAGAAGCUCCCUCUCUCAACUGGGGUGAACAUAGCUUCUCUGUACGGGAGACGCUUUGCCUGCAAGAAUAGGACAAUAAGUGACCCCCAAUGAAUUACCAUCAUCCUUAUAGUUUUGGUUAAUCAAGAUAUCAACAUACCUGAAUAUCUCGAAUUAACAGUAAUGUGGCGAGAGAUCUAGAAUCAGCUUGAAUUGCUGAAUCUUCAACUGACUCAUCAGCCAAAAUUAGAAUCUGUCUUACCACAGAAGACAGCAGGAUUUUGUCAACUUAGAACACAAGAUCGAAUAUGAACAAAAUUGAGGACUAGAGACAAAUACUGACGACUGAAAAGGCCAUUCACUUAGCAGCUCAUUUAUAGGCUAUGCCACUCACCGAAUCGAAAGAUUCAAGGGGAAGGCUUUCCAAGUGACGCCUGAUAACUGCAUUUCCCUCUCUGUUAACCAAACAUAUAUUGACCAGCCUACUGAUGUCAAGACCACCAUCAAUAAGCUUCUUUUCCCUGUCAUUCUCAGCAACAUCAUUGAACAUCCAGAGCUCAGAACCAGGUGCAAGAAAAGCAUCCAACACCUACAUAAGCAUUGUUAAUAUAUUUCUACCCAUAAAAAGAAGAGUCUUGGAAUGAAACAUAUCCCACUUUUCAUCAAACACCACAACCUGGCACUAUAACAUAUUACAAGUAAAAGUGGGACUUCAGUAAUAAACAGCACGAGAAAUUCGGAGACAUCUGCCACCACUUUCUUGCACCAAGAGGUUCAUCAGAUUGACUUUCUGUAGCUUUACCAUGAUAAUAUCUUCCAUAUCUCUUCUCCAACCACACAGCAGUAUCCUUUCUGCAGACUUUGGCACAUUGAAGUCUUUGGGCAGACUUCCCCUCCAUACCUGCAGGCAUUCAGGUGAAGAGAGAAAGAAUUAGGAGCUUUGAAGAAAGAACUUACCACAAUCAUAUCAUCAAUGUCCCUCCUCCAUCCACAAAGUAGAAUCUUCUGUGGCUUUCUCGUUGAUCGAUCAAAGUUUACAAAUGAUGCUUCUUUUACCUGAAUGAUGAAAUUUGCUAGGAUGUAAGUUUUCCAAUUAGUCUAACUACGUUUUAUCAAAUGUUACUUCUUCGACCGGCAUAAUGUUUUACUCACACGUUUAAUUCAUUAGCUACACCAUCCCAAAUAUGUUCUUAUGUACAGUCCACACGAACUAAAUUAGGAUGUGUAGCUCAUGUCUAUUUAGAGGAUUCCCCUAGUAAAGUUCAGACGGUUGAGGCGAGAUGGAUAAGAACAUAACCAAGAAAACCACAGCACCGGAUAGACCCUUUUCAACAAAACAAACACUUCCAUUGAUAAAUCGUUACUUCCUACAUAAUUUAAAAGGUCAAAGAUUUGCAUUUCAAUGAAGAACCUAAAUAUUAGUUAACACCUUGAAACUCAAAAGUAAUUGUGGGCAUCAUUCUUUCUUGUCAUGUAAUCAAGUGUAUUAUACUUAUUUGUAUAUUCCUCAUUACCAUGUCCUCCUCCAACCAUCUUAAACAUAAGUUUGCGAAUAACAUCAUCUCCUAACUGAUGAACUGAAAGAUGUAAUCAAUUAGUCAGAAGUGACAAAUCAAUAAUGCUUCGAUUUCUACUUUCGCUCAUUUAUUUCAUCACAUUCUUUGUAGUAGAAUUAGGUUAGACUGCAAGUUAGUUUAGUGAGUAAUGCAUGGGUUAGUACCAAGUGAAAAUCAUUAAGGCCGUGUGGUGGAGUGACAAAUCAUGAGCCUCCAAAGGAUAAACAGUACUAUAAAUGAGCUCUUAAUUUUUAAGAGGAAGAUGAAAGCACCGUGGGUAAUGCUGCUGGAGUGUAAGUAUCAUCAUCUUCUGCUAUAACAAGCACUUCGUCACCUUCUUGUAGAGUGUACGAAUCGUCAGGAUUCAAGACAAUCUUACCACCGCAAGAAGCAACCUUGACCCCACAGGGUAUAGCAUCAGGAAAGCUGAUCAAGACAUCCUCAAACUGCAAGCCAUCUAACUGUGGCCAUCUCUUGAUGUAAAACUCACAAUUUUCGAACCCAAGGAUGUCUUCCCAAAUCUGCCACGGAUCAUUGGUAACAAUGAGCAUAAACUAAUUGAAUUAGGGAACUUUAGCUCAGCAAAUCAAGUAUUAAACUUAGCAUGUCUAACAUAACAGACCAUAGUAAUGAAAGUUCAACGAUUUAACCUGUGCCAAUCCUGGCUGUCGAGCGCAUUGAAUCAUCAGCCGGCCAAUUACAUCAUGUGCAACAACCGUCUCUACAAGAUCUCCACCAACAAGUUUCACAAGGACCUCAUUGUCAAGAUCACUUAACUCCACGACAAUAUGUCCCCUUAGUCCUUCUUUAACUCCUGUUAGACUCAAGACUGUUCUCAAUGCACGAGCAUCACUCUGUAUCGGACGAUGAAUGAUCUAGUGAUUAAAAUUGUUGAAAAGGAAUACUAAAAUUCAUCUAGUUCUUUCUUGAGCAAGACCUGGUCAGCAUUUCCGUCCUCAGCAAGCACAAUUAUGGCACGGGCCUUUGAAACAGAUACCUAGGCACGUGAAAGGUGUCAGAAAACAUAGGUAUAGACUCUCACUAGUUCACGCAGAGUAGAUUUGCAGGAUCCUGUACAAUGAACUGGAAAAACCUCUGGCAAGUUUACAACACAACUAGCAUCAAGCUCUAUACGGUCACAACAGGAAGAAAUCAUACUACGAUGUGCUGCAUACAGUCCUACUAGUAUUUCACAGAAGCACAUAGUACAAUUUGCUUUAGAUAGAUUUCAGUCUGCAGCUAAUUUUCGAAUUGACCGUGAAAAUUAUGUAAGUUACAUAUGCACAACCGACCCAAAAAAUCUUAGAGUACUGCUACUUUUUCCAGAACCACUGGAUCCGAAAACUGAGUCACCAACCUUUUUGAGGUCGGCCAAAAUCAAAGGGCUCCCACUUCUGCAUAUGACAGAAGUCCCUUUGAAGUCGAACUCCAUUUUUCCAAUGUCCAAUUCCAUCUCUUCUUUGUCUCGUUCAGCCAUUACUACAACAGUCCCACCACCUAAACUGUCAUUGGCUAUUGCAAGCUGAUUCAGCAGUGAACCCUGGUUCCAGAAAACAAGUAAUGAGACAAUUGUGCGACUUAUGGAUGCAAAUAGUGCAAGAUUCUUGGAAAUCAUAUGUUGAAUGCAACUUUAAGCAAGUACACAAAUGGACAAAACAUCAGGACUGGAACAGUAAGGGCAUAGAGAAGAAACAUGCAAGCAGAUUUUCUGUGUGACAGAGCUGAGGAUAUAGAGUUUUACCAGCUUAUCACUCCAUCCAAGGAUAAGGGUGUGGUUUUGCUCAACUACUUCACUUCUUCCCUUCCUCAGUGAAUCGAACUUCUCAGAAAUGGAAUCAGAUACAAGUCCGAGCAUCAUCGCGAAGAUAAGCAUGCCUCCAAAGCUAAUCGAAACAGAAACAAGCCUUGGGCCAAUACCUUCGGAGUCAGCAUGGUUCCCGGAGUCAGCAACAUAGGUCCAUGACAACCAUAGGCAAUCAGCUAAACCAUCGUCGGUGACACCAAAGAGAGCAAAUCCUCCAAGACAGAUGAGUAGCAAUGUGGCAACGAGCAAGGCCAGCGGUUUAGCAUAUGGAUGGACUGAUAGAGAGACAUCCACCCGGUAUGCAAGCCGCUUGCUUAAAGAAACUUCUUCUGGAGCUACCUCUAAAGACCUCAACUUGGAGACGUGAUCAAUAUACUUGAAAAUGAGAAGAGGGAUAGAUAAUAUGGAAAGUGAGGCUAUAAGAGACAAAUAUUUUAAGGCAUGACCAGGGUGAAGAUCAUCAAUCGCAUUCUCCUGUGACCGGGAAUCGAUUGAAGAGUACAAAUCGCAGGCUCGUAACCUGCCGUUCAGUCUUGAAAUUUCAUCCUGUAAGCAUUGGCCCAAGACAAAAGGGAAGGCAACAUAGUCAACUAUCUGCAAAAAUCACAGCGAAAUCUGCUCGGAAGAACUGAUAAUUGAGAUCAAAAUGAAUCAAAUUGACAGGCAUCCAUCCAUCCAUCCAGUUCCACAAGAAAAACAGCAGCAGCAGCCAACUUGACUAGAAAAUAGUUACAGCUUUACCUGCAAGUCAAUGACCUGAUUACGCAAAGAGAAAUUCUUGUGCAUCAAAGAAGCCAGAAUUGUUAUCAGAAACUGCAGCAGCAACAAAAGAUAUUCCAACACAACAUAUGGUUCACUAAUCAGGAUAUGCAUAUAAAAAAAAAAGGACAGAGGGAGUGAGUAAAAACGAACCGAUGCAGAAACGGCGAAAUGCCAUCGCGUAAACCAAGUAGGCAGUUGAAGCCCAAAGUAUGUGAACCGAGCACACGGUUUCUUCCUUAGAGCGGUGGUGGUCUCGGCGUGAGUAUGAACAGCUUCUUCCUGCGGAAGUGGAGCAGAAGACGAAACGGCAAUACCGUGUUCGGGCUUAGGGGAGAGAUGGUGAGGGAAGUGAACUUGGCGGCGGCGGCGGAACCUUGGAUAAGGAGGAGCAGAAGUGGGGGAGGAGGAGGAAGAGGAUGCUCUGGGGAGUGUAGUAGAGAACCUGCGGCUGCGAGCACGAAGCGGGUAAUCUGGGUUGACGAAAGUGGAAGGAGAAGGAAAGAACCAGUCCCUGCUGCUGCUAGUAGUAGGUGGAAGUGGAGACGGCGGCGUAAUGGAGGAUGAUUCCGCAUCCAUUCGCAUUGCUGAAAUUCUUCUUCAGCAGGUGUUGGGAAUUUGGUUGACAUCUUCAUCGUCGGAGCUGAUUAAUUAAUAACAAUCAAGAGUAGAAUAGAUGAUGAUGGAUGGAUGAAUGGAUGGAUGAUUGAUGUUUAAUUAAGCUUUCGUUGACCCUGCCCGCCUACCAGUUUUUUUGUUGUUAUAUGGAGGGUGGAAGAUUCCUGCAGUGGUUAUUUGAAUUCUUGCAAGGAAAAAGACGAUGCAAUCAUGCAAAGAAUAGAAACGACAGAGAAUAUGAGAGGGGUCCGCACCGCAGGCUCAAGCUUUCCCUCAUGUUACAUUACAUACUUGCAUGGUUAGACUAGCUCCGCUUGAACAAGCAUGGUGUAUCACUAAUCGCAUCUUUUACGAAAUAUUUGAAUGGAAGUUUAUUUUUGGAGGGAGGACAAUUUUGAGCGAUUAGCCUUCAAACAUAAGCAUACCUCAAACUUAAAAUCGGUCAUUCUAAUUUCGCUAUUCUAACCUAAGCUACAUAUUUGAACCACCGACUUUUAGGGUAUGAAAUCAAAAUCAUAUGCUCUUUUCGUCAACUCCAAUAUUUCGAAUGGGUCGAGUAAUCGAUUCACUUCCUUCUUUGUCUCAAGAUCAUGUUUCACUUCCUUGAUGAUAAAACGCUUGGAAAAACCUCAUGUCUUUCCUCUGGCCGAUAAAGAGACACUUCUUAAAAGAGAGUUACGACUGUUUUUUCUAGUUACGCGCUUCCACCUUCUGGUUUCGAUUUGCAAGAAAGAACUCAACAGGAAGUAUGUAAAUUGUAAAAGAUGACUAACUUUCCAUUAAAGGAAACAGCUGCGAACUGAUUCAAGAUGAAGAAACAUUCUGCAAUAGGACUCGAAUGAGGUACAAAUCGGAGACAUGGUAAUGACAUCUAGCUUCAACUUUGAACAACAGCAUAUGUGUAUCUUUGAAAGCCUAACCUCCCAUAAUCAGAGACUGGAAGCGGGUGGAAAAAUUUCUACCCAAGUCAAUCAAAGUACCUGUACUGCUAAACACGAAACUGAGCUUCGCACUAUGCUUUCCACAAUGCGGUAUCAUCUCACCGUCCAUAUAAUGCUCGAGCAAUUUUACACACAGAAGAUGGCCCUUACAAUCAUAGGAAAUAGGGCACUCCUGUUCUUGGUCCUCUCAUCUGAUUGUUCUCCUCCGUUUCGGUGAAGAACUUUACUUCUCUCUCCUACAAAAACACAUAGUUCUUGUUAAUGACAAAGCUUUGUUGUUGUAUUUUCUCUAUGUUCUUCAUGUUGCUAGGGGUAGGGGUUUGUGUUAUUCCCAACAACACAUUGCAUUAUUCCCUAGCAACAUGUAUAACUUCGUGUUAUUCAUCAAAACCCCCCAGGGUUUUUCACCAUCAUCUUAGUUUAUCCUCUGUCCAAAUAUUGGUUGCUCUUUUGAAAUAACGCAUCGCAUACUUACUACAAUAAAAGUACUCCUUAAACGUCACUCACCAUAUUCUCAUUGAAGCUCAGGAUGGAAGCUACAUUCCCACAUCGGUAACAGUAGUUCGGUGCAGACCAGACCUGCAAAAUAGCAAGGCGCAUAGUUUAGCUGAUAUAUUCAAAACUAUGCUAAAAACAUGCACAAUAAGAUUUAGCAUCCUUACGGUUACUAAGCCCUUAUCUUGAAACAUGUACUUGAGGCCUUCUUGUACAAGUUGAUGCGCCCGACAAACCAAGUCAAGAUUGUUAAUGUGGUUAUACUGCAAAAGCAUAGUAGGGAGGAAUUCGUUAGAUUUGGUUGAGCACCCCUCUGUUAGAUUUAGAGCAGAUGAUCUGUACCUCAGAGGUAACCCUUGAUCCAAAAAGCCAACCUGCUCCUCUGGGACUAACUGCCCAUGUUUCUAUGUCUUCAGGAUCACUCCACAUAAGAUCACAAAAUGGUCCUUCAUGUGGAAUUUCACAGUUCCGUUCAAUUACUCUUAUCUGUUAAGAUGGGAAGACCAAGAUCAGAUAACAAAAAGACCCCACAAACAAAAUUCCCUAAUGAACAAUGUAUCAACUUCAGAAGAAAUGGCUCAGUUGUUCCUAAAAGUAUAACCACGAUAUCAGACAUGGUUUGCUAGAUAUUGUCUGGUGAAAUUUGGAUCAGGCACUUAGAACUUGAAGUCCUUUUUGCAUAGGUUAUUCAUUCAAAAUGCAUCACGGAGGAUUCCAAGGAGAUCCAAUACUAAAAUGUUAUUUAACAGCACACAGGAGGCAAUACCCUUAGUGUUUGCCAACACGAAAUUAUUAGAUCUGCAAAUCAAAUCUUUGUGGCAUCAAGAAGUUAAGAGUUUUUCAACUUUGACGGCCAAUACGUUGCAAAGGCCUACCUGAUCAAUAGUCCGGACAUCAGGAGAAAGACCACCAUGGACACAAAGCACCUGCAUGAUUCCCAAAGGCAUGAAUAGUUUUUGAUUUCACGUUAAGAACAUUAAAAUACCAUAAAGUAUCGCAUGUCAAAGCGUCAUUACUACUGAAAAAAGAGAAAGAGAGCAGCAUGAGAGUCUCACUGUGCCAUCUAUAAUAGCUGACAGUGUAAGGUAAUCAAAAACAUCUGUACAAUAACGCCAUGCAUUAGCAUUGCCAUACUUCCUCUGGCAUUCGUCGUAGAAACCAUAAACCUAGAGGACCAUAACCAAAAACACACAAAUUUAUCAAUUGGUUAUGGUGACAAUUGAGCACCUCACAACAAACAAAAUAACAAAUAAAGAAUAACCAAACCUGAGUUAGUUGUCUGCUCUCAUGAUUCCCUCGCAAAAGUGUUAUAUUAGCAGGGUACCUAAACAUAGGAGAACCAUGGAACUAAGUAAUACAAGAUGCUUACGGACAAACACAAACAAGAAUGACAUGAACUGACACCGCGGAAAUAUUCAGCUCCAUAGGAAGACUAGAAGAAGAAUACCUGGCUUUUAGCAAUAAAAGAAUAGUGAAAACUUCAAGGCUAUUGUAACCACGGUCCACAAAAUCCCCCUGUCAAAAGAUUCAGCAGUAUUCAGCUCCAACCAAAAUGGCAACACACAACAGUCAACUGGAAUGAAUAUGGGGGAGGGGCCGAAGGCGGGAUUAAAGUUUACCAUAAAUAUGUAAUUUGUAUCUGGAACAUGACCUCCGGUUUGGAAAAGCUUCAUUAGAUCAUGAAACUGACCAUGAAUAUCCCCACAAACAGUCACAGGACUGUUGACAGGCUGAACAUUGGAUUCCUCAAUUAGAAUGUCUUUUACCUGAGUAGUUUGCAAGGAAAAUCAUAGGGGUGUUAAUCUAACUGCUUCUAACAAUGCGAUGAACAAUAUCAAGAGCAGAAGAUGAUUUUCAACAAGUAAACACUCCAGUCUAUCUUUUGUUUCCGUUUUUAUCUUUUAGGUGGGUUUGUUUCUCCCUUGGUCAAUUUACCAUGUGAUUAAGUUAAAGAUUAACUACGAAAACAAGCAAGUACAUUGCCCAGCUAAUGAUAGGGAAUAGAAAUGAAACCAGCAUUCCCAAUCCCAGAUACCACAAAACAAGCACGGGAGACGGGCAUUUGGCAAAAACAAGAAAUGAAGUGUAAAUUCUGGAAUAACAAGUGGAUCCAAGGGCGCGAUAUCCAGUUAUUAAAAACGUGAGCAUUUUUGCAAACCAUAAGGCCAUUAAUGUGCAAAAGCAUUGAGCUACUGAUAAAGGAAAAUCGAAAUUUUCUAAGCGAACAAACACCACGAGCAGGAAAAAAGAUAAAAGUGUGAAGUGAUGAUCUAAGGAAGCAUCAGAGCGACAAUGUUGGGGCUAGGGUUUAUUUUUCCGAUAGGAAACAGAUAGCUCGGAAACAAAGGGAAACACAUUCAAUAAGAAAGAGGGCAACAAUGUGAGCCAGGAGAAGAGAAAGGGUGAAAACCCCCAGUUCUAAGACACCUGUAAAAGUAUGAUCAAGAUAAUUCAGCUAAAUAAUGAAGAAACGGAUCGUAGAACCAAAGAACCCGGAGGAUGAGUAUUAAAAAGAAGAGCGUAUGAACAGAAAGCAAGAAAUUACAUAUUCGCAUAGAAGUUGGAGCUCGUCUUCCAGGAGGUGCUGCCCUUCCUUCACCUUAGAAAUCCACUGAUCCAAAUCCAUCCUCGCGGAUAUGUUUCCCUCGCCUUCUCAAUCAAUCAAUCAAUCGGUACACGCCUGGGAUGAUUCUUUCUUUCUUUUACACCGCCCUCAGGCUUCCAACUUUCUAGGUUAAACCAGCGCCCAAACUACAAGAACGCUGAUUCUUCUUCAAAAUUUAGGAAAAGCAAAGUCGCGAGUUGACGGAGGAGAAAGAUUCUGGUUUUAUGUUUGUAUUUAUUUUUGUUGAUUUUUCCUCUUCUAAUUUCCCUCCGGCUCACGUACGUUUUGACAUAUGAUCCCUCCUCUCCUCCCAAUCCAAAACUUGCUAUAACACCAUGGCCUCAGCUUCCUUCACACUUGCACAUCCGAUCACUUGUUGGACACCAUAAGCCAACAACAAAGUUAGGUGACAUGUUGAAUUUUAUGACUGGUAGGACAAUGACACGUAGUUUGUUUGAAUGGAAAAAAAUAUCAUGUGUUUAUUAAGACUCAGAGUAAAAAAAAGGAUGUUGUUGUAUAAAAUUUUGGUGGUACGAGAUAUACACAAUUAGAUCGAGGUACAAGGUGUUAAUAAUAGAUAAAGUUGUUAAUGUUUUGUUUUUGCAUGUAUUCGGUAACUGGAUUAGUGUCCGGUUCUUGAGGUGAUUUCGACAAAAAUGAUACUUUAAGAACGAUACAUUAUUAUUCCCAUAGUAUGUAGAAUUUGUAAUGAGAAACGGUUUAUUUUUCUAAACAAAGAAGAUAAAAAUUCAAAUAAUUUGAAUUGGAGGGUAAUGUUAUAUUUUAAAAGUUAAGAAAAGAACAAAUUGAUUAUAGAUUUUUGGAAAGUUCAUAAAUAACCUCAAUCCAUGUCAGUCAUUAGAUUGAUCUUGUGGUGAUGAGUACCAUCUAACAGACUAACACCGUGCUUAAACUUUAGAAGCUUGGAAGAGCCGAUUGGUUUCACUCCAUCAGCUGCCCUAAGCUUGCAUUUCCCAACCCGCAACCUCCUCAACCGCGCUUCACCCUCCAUUUUCUCUCUGCUUCUGGCGGUAAGAGACGAAGAGAAGGUGAUCAGAGAUUGAUACAGAGAGCGCGAAGACAUACCAACUGAUGAAUCUUUAAUUUCCAUCUCUGCUCGAAAAAUCAACGCCGGGAGCAAAUACAGAAGAUCGUGGUAUCUACAUCUGCCUUCUCCAACCAACCUGAUUCUUCUCCGGCUUCCAAAGGUCAUUUGCUUACAGAUGCAGAUCAUUUUGUCAAUGCUUGCUCAAAUUGCAACUAGGCGGUGUUUCUGAUUACAAAGUAUCAAUCUCCACCAGAGUCAAAUCCCCUUUCUGCUAUUUUGUACAUCGUCGUCCCUUGAAUCUUCUGUUCCUUAGGAGGGUAUUUGACUUCGCCUCUUCACUGUUGUUUUUUUUUCCUUUUUAGUGUCGCCUCUUCACUGUUCUCUUUUCUCCAAAUUGAAACAUAGAUGAAGUUAAACUGUUAUACUUCACAAUUCUUCUGGUCAUGCCUUUUCGUCUUUACAUCCUAAAUGUUGUAUGCAAUGACGGGGAUGGAGUAUUGAGUUCAUUAGCGGUGAAAAGAUGCAGUGGAAUCCAAAAUCUCAAGAAGGGAAGUGUUAGGAGUAGUAUAUUCUGUAAUGUUACUUACAGGCUGUAGUCUGAAGGUCUAUUUUAGUUCUGAUUCUUUAAGUGGGACGGAUCUAUCGAAUUUACUUGUUAUUUUCACAUUCUCUUCUUGAUAGUAGUAAGCUGCAGCGUCUUUUAUGAAAAUAUGUCCGAUUAAAUUGUCUGUUUUGCGUUUCAGUCUGCUAACUAUGCAUGUGAAACCACUCGCCGAGAGAGAAAUUUCUCCAUUCCUAGCCAUCUUCAUGGUGACCAUGGAUGAUUAAAUGGAAGUUAAUCCAGACGGUUUGAAAAUUUUCCUAAUCUUUGCUGGUGAUUGAAAAACAAAGCAGAAAUGGCAAGGCCCAAAGUCUCCCACCGUCCAAGCAUAUGCUUCAGGGCUAUACUCCCCUCUGAUCUGGAGAUUUUAGAGCGAAUGCAUACUGAAAUAUUUCCGAUUAGGUAUAUAACUUCAACACUGUUCUACUCUUAAUUUCCCUUUGUUCAUUCUGCUUAACUUCUAUUCUUAUCAAAGUUUUCUGUCCUCCUUAGGUACGAAUCUGAGUUUUUCCAACAUGUUGUCAAUGGACAUGAUAUUGUGUCCUGGGCAGCCAUUGAUCGUGGUCGGCCCAAUGGUAAUGGUGAUGAAAUGAUAGGAUUUGUUACUGCAAGGAUUGUGUUAGCAAAAGAAAGCGAGGUGGGUCUUCUACCUCCUUGAAGCUUGAGGGUAUGUUUUGCAUUCACAUAUUGAUAGAUGUUGCAGUCUUGCAGAAAUAUUUUGGUUGCUUCUGCCCUAUUAUUUGUCUAGCAUGAAAUGCAAGAUAGGUUUACUUUGAGUUCAGCCAGCUGUAAAUGAUAAAACUUUUCGUUAUUCUGAUGUUAGGUUUCAACUAUGGUUGAACUUGUUUCGUAAUUGUGGAUAUAAGGAGUGACCAUAAGAUGUUGUGGAAGUUUAUUUAGUACCUUUGUUGGAGACCCUUGGUGAUGCUAAAUCCUGCAAUGUUUCUGUGCAUCUACUUGAAAUUAAUAGACGUUAGGAGUUUGAUAUCCCUUAAACGGGCCUAUCUAUCAAAAGAAUGCUUGUAUUCGUUUUUAAUGGAUACGGAACCCCUUCUAAGGUUUUGUUUCUAUUGUCUAAUUUUAAGUGCUUAAUUUUCUUGUUAACUUAAUCUGAUUUGCCACUCGGAGACAUGUUUUAUUCCAUGUGCCUUGCAGAUAGGAGAUUUACUUAGAUAUGACCCGUCUAGACCCGAUCAGACAUUACUCUACAUUUUGACACUUGGAGUAGUUGAUACCUACAGAAAUCUUGGUAUAGGUAAGAACUUUCUCUAUUGUAACUCAAUAUGCUCAGAAAUGAACGUCCUUGUAUUAUGAUCCGCUCGUUUGUAUUUCCAUGUGGGUGUAGGUGUCUGUGAUGAAGGCAAUUUUCUUUUUGAAAUAAUGGUUCUUGUUUUAUGAUCCACUCGUUUGUUUCUGUUGCAGCAUCUUCUCUUAUCCGUGAGGUGACCCAAUAUGCUUCAAGUAUUCGAACGUGCCGUGCAAUUUACUUGCACGUAAUAUCAUACAACAUUGCUGCAAUCCAGUUAUAUAAAAAAAUGUCAUUCAGGUGUAUACGGAGGCUGCAAGGUUUUUAUUUCAUCAACGGACAACAUUAUGAUUCUUUCUUGUUCGUUUACUACGUGAAUGGUGGUCGUUCUCCAUGCUCACCAUUGUAAGUCAAACAACCUUAUUUUAGUUAUGUGGAUGUAUAUUGUCAAAAUUAUCAUUUUCAUAUGAAGUUCCCACCUAGGGAAGGUCCAUUGUUCGCUGAAUCACUGCGUCCUUUACCACUCUUGGCGUUCCAAAAGCACGAGCAUCUCUGUGAUUUUUUUCUGUCAUAUAGUUGCAUUAAAUUCUAUGCUUUUGUAACCAUUGCAUCUUUAUUAAAUUGAAUAUCGUUGCAUAUCUCGUUCUCUUAAAUGUGUUGACAAGUUAAAAUAAUAGACUUGCAGCAGGUCCCGUGGAGUGCAAUGCAUGGACUUUUUGGGUUCCAAAUAGUUGGUAGGCAGGUGUCCUUCCAUUCUGAACUCUUUGUUGUGGAAGUCAAACCGCAGACUUUAAACACAUGCAAUUUCAUAUUUAGGUUGAUUUUUGGGUUCUUUCUUAUGUUUGUGGGAUCCUACUGCGUGAGAUGUCAGGGCACUGUAUCUUUUCUCAACUGAUGUUUUUACUUCAUGCCAUGUGAGCAUUUGUUUAGUUACUUUGCUAAAAAAAUUGGCCUUCCAUUUGCUUAAAGCCUUCAUUUUAUAUUCCCUGAGUGUCUAUAUAUAUGGUUUCAGAUACUCUGCAAUGCUUUCUAUAUGAUUGGCGGUGAUUAGGUAGGUUGUUCAUUUGUGCGUGCAUUCAUGCUGCAGAGAGUUUGUCACAUAUUUAUUGGCUUACAUGAGGAGUGGUCUGAAGUCGGUUGCAUCGAGGCUAAAGAAGAGAGAUGACCGGUUGCCGAAAUGGCCAAAAUGUAAAGACCCACAUUCACUUGCAUCGUCGCAAAGCAAGAGAAAUCUGACAGCAGAAUGUAGUGGGUAUGAAUCUGUAUGAGAAGCUUGUAUGACUAUACAUGUGUGUGUAUGCAUGAUGUACGGUAUGAUGUUUUGUUGAUCAGUAGACAAAGUGGCAAGUAUGAUAGAUGAGAGUUGAUACAAUUUAGGGUAUAGAAGCUGUUACUCAUGUAGUGAAAGAAUACUUGUGGAUGAAGAUAGAUUGCAUUGUGUUCCUUCUUACCAGUUCAUUUGCAAUUAGUCAUUGUGAAGUGAUGUAUUUGUCUUGCUGAUAUAAAAGGAUAGUGAGAGGUCCCAGUUAAUAUCUUAGCUGAAGUCUGUCUUUACUGAGAUGUACAAAUUUAUAACUUGUAAAACAGUUGUGCCUUUGUUCCUUAGGAUGAUGCCAUGGUAAGCCAUUUUCGAUUGUUAAACAUCCGUCCAUAACAAAUAAAACGCAUGGAGCGAGAGCACUUGACACAUGAACCGUGGUUGCUCAAGGCCUACCGAUAUUGCGUUGGGUGUUGGAACCCCGGAGAACCAACCAAUGUAAUUUGUGCACAUACUAAUAUCGAUCAUCCAAUAAACAAGAAUAGUUGCAACAGGUGGUAGACCAAGGUUGCUACACAUCAAUACAUCAUUUCUGUACGUACAUGGAUCGAUCGAUAAUAGUCAUCGAGUGAAGUGUUUACGGCCUCUAGGGCAAUCGAUCAGCAAGAGUACACAAGCACAUUAUUUUGAACUCUUAACUAAUCAGGCUGGUAACUAAAUUGACCGACCUGGGUAACAAAGAAACCCAGGAAAAACCACCACAAAUCACUGGCUGCUGACAGAAUAGACAAAGUACUGCCACCUAACAAUCAUCACAAUUAAAAUAAAAAUAAAAAGUAAAAAUAAUCGCCAUAGUUGAAAUAAAAUAAAAAGAAAUAAGGAAAGAACAUGAAGGGGGGAAAAAGGAAAAGAAAGUACACCUCUCAUCUCAUCUCAUAUCAAUCCCUGUCUGUACCUUCCAACUGACAAAGGAUUCAGGACCGGACUUCCAUGGCCAGAACAAGAAAGCGUCAAUGAGGCCCUACUUAUCACUCUUUCAAGCAGUAAACAGUGGCGUGGCAAUGGCGGAUUGCAGUUCAAGGCCGUACGCUGUUUCCUUGUAAGUAAAGUACCCCUACCCACCUGCUGCUGCCGGGCCGGAGUUCAUAUCCACCUACUUCAUUCCUUAGUGAUGCUAUAAAAUUAUUAAUUGCUUAUCAAAUCUCUCAAAAAUGAACUACACUUGUCUGAGAGUUUUGGCAAACACAAUUCUGAAAUCUGUUAUUGCCGUUGAUUAAACAUAUUAUCGCGUUCCUGGACGGACAUGAAGCAAAAACCAACACCCCAGGGAAAACCCUAGAUUGAACCAUUUGAAUUUGACUUCCAACAGGGCAGGAAAAAAAGAGAAUUCGACUCUGAUGCUUAAACUCUACCCUGUACUACUACUACGUACUUUCAAGAGUUAGUCAUAGCCUGUCAGAUUCUUCAAUUGAUAGUAGCUGCUAGACAUACAGACCAGUUAGGAAAACAUUACAAGGUGCAAUCUGUAUACAUGCAGCCCGAAUUAAACUCUGUUUUGAAUCAUUUUUUGUCAGCAUCUGUAUGGACGGUUAAGCUUGCAGCAGUACGUACGUAGUGUCUAUUAUUUAUGCUGUGUUCUACCAAAGCUUGCACUAGUAUCUUCCGCACAUUUUACUGACAGGCAGUCCACAUAUAUCUCAAAACAAAUAAUUGAAAACAACAUCACUAUAUAUAGAUAUACGCUGCUGCAACACAUAGAUCAUAGCAGAAGUUUGAGUGAAGAUCAAUGAGAUUUACUAAUUUGCAGAAGCUAUAUACUAAUUAGUCAGAUUGUGUCAUGUAACUGCAAUAUUGCAUACUUAACUGGUCAGGUUCCUCGUCCCUACAACACAAGUACUACAAUUAGUCAACAAUAUCGAUGAGUCAGUGAUGCCACUGGUCAGUUCCAACCAACAACUAACCACUAGAGAUCGAGCCACCAGGAACUCCAUUCCAUCCUUUUAUCCAGGUUGUAGACCAUGGUAAUGAAGCAAGCUGUAGAUGAGUUUACAAAAGAAAUAAUAAGUUUUAUAUUAGAUGACUUAACAUGUGAAAUAGGACACCAACUGUGGAUAAGCUUACCAAUGGCUCUCCGUUGAAAUGACAUGCAUGCUCGUUAACCAUACUGCAUAUGUAGAUAUAGGAAAUUGGCUGAAAGUGGUAUGCUUUUUAUUUCCAAGAGUGACAUGAUGACAUGCUUUCAGCAUUGAGUACACCAUGCUCACUGUACCAAGCCACCAACGCUUGCAAGCUGUUAGUUUCUGUUACUCAGGUACAUAUUCAUGUGUCAGUUUGUUUGUUCAGAAAAGUAGCACAUCGAUUAGAGUUUAGACGUUGUUAGAUAAAACACACAAGUAGCAUAUCGAUUAAUAGACAUGCAAGUACUCUUAUCCAUUUCAGUACUAAAAUUCUCUUGCUAGCUAGUCUCUCAUACUCAUCCAAUUGUUGCCUUGCCUGCUAAAAGUGUCUCGACUGCAUAUGUUUGAUUACAUACAAAGACAUUUCCUUCUUCAGUAAUUAGCUAGCUAGGAGCCUUAAACCGAUCAAUUAAGCAUGCAGAAACAACUGAGCUGAGCUAAUCAGUUCUAUUACAUAUAGUUGAGGGAAGUUGGAGUUCACAUCUACAGACACCGUAAUUAAGUUCAGGUUAGCGAGGUAAGAAUUGCAGUGCAAACUUAACAAGUCUGUCUGCCACUUGACUUGAUAAUAUAUGUAGACACACACACACACAAACAUGUGAAGUGAAGUAGCAUAAUUUUGCAUCGCUUUCGAAAUCCACAACCCGGUCCGAUAUUGCUAGUUGAUUCGCAGUAUAUAGUCGCUCUAAUGACUAGGCCAACACCACUCCGUCACUAGCUACAUCAACAUGCAUCACUACUUGUGAAGGAAUUAAUCAACAAAUUAAUUAUAGUUUAAUUAGUGGGUGUCAUAAUAUUGAAUUUAUGAGAGGAAGCUUUUCAAUAGUAUUAUGAUAUAUGGGAUUACAUAAGGGGUACAUGGGUUUAUAUAGAGUUAGGAUAGGAGAAUCCUUCCUCAACUAGGAAAACUCUUAUUACUAUUCCUAUACUAAUAAGGAAAAAUAUUGAAACUUAUUCCUAUACUAAUAAGGAAAAUAUAAUAUUUUUCAACACUCCCCCUCAAGCUUGGUGUAGAUGUUAAUUAACCCAAGCUUGGACAGUAAGUGGUCAAACACAUCUUUUGAAAGAGGCUUCGUAAAAACAUCUGCAGUCUGUUGCUUCGUAGGAACAUAUUCCACUCGAACCACACCAGAACUAACAUUUUCAGUUAUAAAAUGACGAUCUACCUCCACAUGUUUAGUUCGAUCAUGAUGAACAGGGUUGCGGACUAUGCUGAUUGCUGCUUGACUAUCACACAGAAACUGGAUAGGACCAUCGAUCUCAAUCUUCAGCUCAUUCAUGAUGCGCUUCAACCAGAUACUCUCACAUAUUCCAAGUGCGAGAGCUCGGUACUCAGCCUCUGCACUGCUUCUAGCCACAACCUUUUGUUUCUUACUUCGCCAUGUCACAAGAUUUCCCCAGACAUAACUACAAUAACCAGUUGUAGACCUUCGAUCUGUGAGUUCACCAGCCCAACUUGCAUCAGUAUAGACAGUAAUUCCCCGUUGAGCAGUUCUCUUGAAAUAGAUUCCCUUUCCAGGUGAACUCUUCAAGUACCUUAGGAUUCUGUAAACCAUUCCCAUAUGUUCUUCAUUAGGACAGUGCAUGUGCUGGCUGACAAUCCCAACUGCAAAAGCUAUAUCGGGUCGAGUGUGAGCUAAAUAAAUCAGUUUCCCAACCAAUCGUUGAUACCGACCUUUUUCAACUGCAGGAAUAUCCUCCUCCCUGCUAAGAGUUUUAUUCGACUCCAUGGGAGUGUCGAUAGGCUUACAGUCAAGCAUUCCCACUUCCUUUAGUAAGUCCAAAACAUAUUUUCGUUGAGAGAUUACGAUACCUUUCUGAGAUCUCGAAACUUCCAUUCCUAGGAAGUAUUUAAGGUUUCCCAAGUCUUUGAGUUCGAACUCUUUUGCCAGUUGAUCCUUGAGUCUCUUAAUUUCUUCUACAUCGUCUCCAGUGAUUAUAAUAUCAUCCACGUACACAAUGAGGAUGGAGAUCUUCCCUGUAGGUGAGUGCUUCACAAAUAAGGUGUGAUCGGUCUGACAUUGGUAGUAUCCUCCUUGCUUCACAGCCUUGGUAAAUCUGUCAAACCAGGCUCGGGGAGAUUGUUUCAACCCGUACAAGGCCUUGCGAAGCUUACAAACUUCCCCUUCUCUCGGAUUUUUCACUCCCGGAGGAAACACCAUAUAGACCUCUUCUUCAAGUUCUCCGUUAAGAAAGGCAUUCUUCACAUCAAGUUGAUGUAACGGCCAGUCCAGGUUUGCUGCCAGAGAAAACAACACCCUUAUACUGUUGAGCUUUGCCACUGGUGCAAAGGUUUCAUCAUAAUCCACGCCGUAUGCUUGGGUGAAACCUCUAGCCACCAGCCUAGCUUUAUAUCUUUCAAUCGAUCCGUCUGCUCUAUAUUUAAUGGUGAAGAUCCACUUACAAUCAACUGUGUUCUUUCCAUUCGGAAGGGAGACAAUGUCCCACGUAUUAUUUUUCUCCAAAGCUCGUAACUCCUCCAUGACAGCACUUCUCCAUUUUGGAUGUUUCAUAGCUUCUUCAAUAUUCUUAGGUAUUUGUUCCUCGUCAAGAGCAGAUAUAAAUGCUCUGUGAGAAUUGCUAAGACCAUCAUAGCUGAUUUGUCGAGCAAUCGGAUAUUUUGUGCAAUUUCUUAUACCUUUCCUUAGAGCAAUAGGAACCUCUAGAUCACUCAAAUCAUCACCCUCUUCUUCAACAUCUUCAACUAUCACUUCUCGAUCAGCAUUCGUAACUCCCCCUCCACUAUUUUCUGUCUCAAGAGUAUCAUCUUCAAUCACAAUAUUCUUUCUUCUUUGAUAAACAAGAAGAGGUUUUUCUAAUGAUUCCGCUGAUGACAUUUGAGACUCCCCCUGACUUACAACAUCAGUUGGGAGCUCCCUCUGACUCACAACUUCGGAUGGAGUGUCCUCUUCCUCUAAACAAAUCGUAUCCACGAGGGUAUGACUGUCAUCAUUAUUUGUUUGCUCCCCCUGAAUCACAGUAGUAGGAAAGUAGGUCUGUGAUUCAAAAAAGGUAGCAUCCCGAGUGGUGUAAACUCGUUUGGUCGGAGGAUGGUAGCACCUAUAGCCCUUCUGGGUUAAAGAGUAGCCUAUAAACAAAGGUGUAAAAAAGAGCCGAGGUCUUUGUUGAAGUAAUCGUGGGCAUUGUCAGUUUUCAGAACCUUGAUGUGAGUCUGAAAUUGGGUAGCUACCAUUUUGUGAAAUAGCUGAAAAAUCUGGACCGUUUCGGACUUUUCUUUCAUUAAGAAAGUCCACGUCAUCCUUGUGUGAUCAUCAAUAAAUGUUAUGAACCAACGAGCCCCAUUGAUGUUCUUGACUUUCAUAGGUCCCCAGAUAUCGCUAUGAACUACACUAAGAGGUGUGGUAGGUCGAUAGCCGAUUCUAGGAUAGGAAGAACGCGUAUGCUUCGCAAGUUGACACACAUCACAUCUCAAAUCCUUUGAACCUUUAUUCUGAAAUAGUGCAGGUAGCAACUUUUCAAGAUAAGUAAAACUGGGAUGACCAAGACGGAAGUGCCAUAACAUGGCUUCAUUCUCAAUGUGUUCAAUACUAGAAACAACAUUAGCACUAAUACUACUAUGGGCUUUACUGGAACUAGCCUCAUCCUGAGUUCCCUUCAACAAGUAGAGACCAUUACGCAUUUCACCACUUCCAAGCAUUUUCCCAGUCUUCACCUCCUGUAACACACAAUCGGGAGAGCGAAACUUAGCUUCACACUGAAGAUCAUGUGUUACUUGAUGAAUAGAGAGAAGAUUGCAGUCAAGUUUAGGCACAUAAAGUACUGGACAUAGAGUAAGAUCCUUAGUAACCCUAACAAUGCCUAUUCCUUCCACCGGUGCUAUUGAUCCAUCGGCAAUCCGGACACCUGAGGUUCUAGGGUAAGGUUUUAAGUGUUCUAUCAACUCCUUACAACCAGUCAUAUUGUCUGUAGCUCCGGAAUCAAGGAUCCAAAUAUUCUGAGAAUUUUGACUAGAAGUGUAAGCAGCCGAAGUACCUUUUUUGUCGAACAUACUAGACAUGUAAGAUUUCUUGGGGUCGGCUUUCUCAGUAUUCAUGAUUUGUGCAAACAUUUUCUUCAGAGUCUCCAACUGACCAGCUGAAAACUGUGUCGUAUCAUCAGUUUUGGUGGCAGCUGCGUUCGCACGAGACUUCUGCUUAUUCAAGUUCAGUCUGGGUCUCCAUCCUUGUGGUCCACCAACUAUUUCCCAGCACUCCUCUUUCGUAUGAAAGGGUCGUUGACAGAGAUCACACCAUUUUGAAGAGGCAGCAGAAGUAGGAUUCUGUAUUCCCUUGUCAUGGUUGUUCUUAACAAAGAGAGCUGUGGUUGAGGUCUCAGUUUUCAGGGCUGAACUGCUGGGUUCAGAGGUUGUCUUCGUCUCUGUAACCAUCAGAUGACGCCGACCUUCUUCUCUCAAAACCUCAGCAAACGCCUCCUUCAGACUUGGAAAGGGUUUCGUUCCCAUAACCCUGCUUUUCACAGCAUCUAGGUCUUGAUUUAGUCCAAGAAGCAGUUGAACUGUCCUCUUCUUGUCCAUGAAUGUCCGGAAUGUUUUUGCAUCAUUCGGAGUAUCCCACUUCUGAGCUUCAUACAAAUCAAGUUGAAGCCAGGUUCGGACCAGCCGAUUGUAGUACUCCGUUGCACUCAAGUUACCUUGCUUGAAAUUGUAGAGUUUGGACUCAAUUUCGAACAAAGCAGAUGAGUUGUCUUGCGUGGAGUAGGUUUCUUUCACAUCAUCCCAAAGCUCCUUUGCAGAUUGAUGUAGAAGAUAGUUGUCGCCGAUAUCUGGUUCCAUCGUGGAGAUGAGCCAGAACCGAACUUGAUUGUCAUCAUUGUCCCACUUGGUGAAGGCAGCUGAGUCGGAUUCUUCUGGUUUGCUUGCAAUACCAGUAAGAUAUUCCCCUUUCUGUUUCCCAGUGAUGAACAUCCGGACUGACUGAGACCAUUGGAGGUAGUUGUUACCAUUGAAUUUCCUAAUGGAAGCUCCUCCAGAGCCUGGUUCAGAUCCGAAAUUGUUGUUGUUGUUGUUGGCUGCCAUCUCAGUUUCGGAGAUGACAGAAGAAGGAUGAAUGGUGGAAGAAGACGAGUGUUUUGGAAAGGAAGAAGGUGAAACAAUCUUGUUGUCCGUGGUCAUGAUGAACCAACAGUGAGAUUAACACCGACGGCAGCGGAAGAUAUAGCCGGCGGCUCUGAUACCAUAUUGAAUUUAUGAGAGGAAGUUUUUCAAUAGUAUUAUGAUAUAUGGGAUUACAUAAGGGGUACAUGGGUUUAUAUAGAGUUAGGAUAGGAGAAUCCUUCCUCAACUAGGAAAACUCUUAUUACUAUUCCUAUACUAAUAAGGAAAAAUAUUGAAACUUAUUCCUAUACUAAUAAGGAAAAUAUAAUAUUUUUCAACACAUAAUAUAGGGUUUGGAUGUGAAUACAGCUAAAAUUAAGUGAGAGUACUGUAGACAGUAAGCACAUAAUUAUCAUACUAAUUAGUAGUUGGGAUUCGCAUGCGCACGAAAUGAAGAAAGAUCAUCAUGCAAAUGCUAUCAUCUGCAAACAACUGGGUUUUUUUUUGGCUCGACGGAACGGAAGGACCAUACUAGAAAACCCACUAGCUACCCUAAUUAGCUUACGUGAAUGGUCCCGUGCCAUGUUGGGCAACACUAGUUCAAAUUUGCCGCUAAUUCGUACAGUAAUCUCUGCUGCUGCAUAUCCAUAUAUAUAUAUAUAUAUAUAGACAGUAAACACCGCCAUCAAAAGCAACGCCUGCUUGCUGUUGCUUAUCACUAAACAAACAAUAUAUAGUUUAUUAUGUUGUAAAUCUAAACACCAAAACCUCAAAAAUUGCAAACCCUUAGACCAAAGCAAGAACCUCAGUCGUCAGUCCCCCACUAAAGCAACGAGUUGAGUUACCUGUUUCCCAGUAAGUACCACGCUCGGUUUCCCAUUUGCCAAACCAAACCCAACAGAAGUAGUUGUAAAAGAGAGAGAGUUAAAGAUUAUUACUGCUGAUUGAUGAUAAUAAUAACAACAAAUCUAAAACAAAAAGAAGAAGAAGAAGAAGAAGAAGAAGGAGGAGGAGGAUGAGCAGCCGACAGAAAGAGAAGUGAGCACCCAAAACUCAAUGGUAUAGAUUCAUAUAUAACAUACUGGUCUCUAAGUGCUCACUCUCUUCUGUCAAUUUCUCCUUACUUGCUUUUUCUACUCCUUACCCAGAUCCCACAGACAGGGAGGGGCGGGCCGGCCAGAUCUGAGAGCAACCAAAGGCUAUCUCUUUGGCAGAAACCAAAACAAAGGAAACAAGACCUCAUCUUGUAUGUAUUUAGUCUUCUUGCUAGCUAGCUAGCUAGCUAGGGUUUCUUCUGUUAUAACAAACUGGAAAGAUAGACAGACAGAAGAGGAACCCGGAACCCUUUCUUUUUAGGUGUAUGGCUGUGAAGUGAAAGCGAAUAAGCAAUGCAGAGA
rnacentral:lncRNA from 1 species